rnacentral:lncRNA from 1 species
CUAUAAGACUUUGUCCAGGCUUGUCCCUCGCUACAAAAGGGAUUGGGCCACUUUGCUGCACCGUUUCUACUUUUGUUACUUGUUGCUCGCUAUGAAUCAUCUCACCACACAAUCACUUGUUACCGACAAUUUCAGUGCUUGCAGAUAUUUCCUUGCUAAAAACCACUUGUCAGAUCCUUCUGCUCCUCGUUGGGUUCGACACUCUUACUUAUUGAAAGGACUACGAUUGAUCCCCUAUACUUGUGGGUCAUCAAGACUCUUUUCUGGCGCCGUUGCCGGGGAGUGAAGCUCCUUUGGUAAGUGGAACUUGGUAAGGAAACAUUCAGAUAGUGUGCUGAAAUUUAUUGUCACUUGUCACUACGGAUACUAAUCCUUUGAGGGGCUUGUUCGGGGUAUCUUCACCUCGAACGGAAGCACAAAGAGUUGAUCCUCAACCUGCUGCACCUACUGAAAAUAUUUGCUUUGAAUUUCCUUCAGGUAUGCUUGAGAAACUGCUGGCUAAUCCUUUUACAGGAGAUGGAACAUCACAUCCAGACUUGCAUCUAAUGUAUGUAGAUGAAGUUUGUGGUUUAUUUAAGCUUGCAGGUGUGCCCGAGGUUGAGUUCAAGAAGAAGGUCUUUCCUUUAUCAUUGAAGGAUAAGGCGUUGACAUGGUAUAGGCUAUGUGAUGAUACUGGAUCAUGGGACUACAAUCGGUUGAAAUUGGAAUUUCAUCAAUAGUUCUAUCCUAUGCAUUUAGUACAUUGUGAUUGGAAUUAUAUUUAGAAUCUUUGGCCUCGUGACAGAGAAAGCAUCCCUCAAGCUUGGGGGAGGCUUAAAUCAAUGCUAUAUUGAUGCCCCAAUCAUGAGCUCUCGAGAGAAAUUAUCAUUCAGAACUGCUAUGCUCAGCUUUCUCAUGAUGAUCGCACCAUGCUUGACACUUCUUAUACCGAUUCUUUUAUGAAGAGAGAUAUUGACUUCAAUUGGGAUUUAUUGGAGAGAAUUAAACACAACUCUGAAGAUUGGGAGCUUGAAGAAGGUAAGGAGUCAGGUAUGAAUUUCAUGUUUGAUUGCGUUAAAUCCUUUGUUGAGACAAAUACCUUUAGUGAUUUUAGCGCUAAGUAUGGACUUGACUCUGAGAUAGUAGCUUCAUUGUGUGAAUCAUUUGCUGCUCAUAUUGAUCUCCCCAAAGAGAAGUGGUUUAAAUAUCAUCCUCCUUUAAAAGUCAAUGUAGUUAAACCCACUCCAGUUCAAGAGAAAGUCAUUGCCUAUAAUGAUCCUAUUGUUCCCAGUGCUUACAUUGAGAAACCACCUUUCCCUGUUAGGAUAAAGGAUCAUUCUAAAGCUUCAACUGUGAUACGUAGAGGCUAUAUUAGAACACCUACACCCCCUGAGAAAAUUAGAGUUGAACCUAGCAUUUCUAUUAUAAAAGAUCUUCUCUUCGACGAUGUUGAGGGACGUAAUAUUCACUUCUGUGAAGAUGCUGCUAGAAUUGCUAAACCUCUCGCUAGAGACAAACAUAGGCAUGUUGUUGGCAUGCCUGUGGUUUCUGUUAAGAUAGGAGAUCAUUGUUACCAUGGUUUACGUGACGUGGGUGCUAGUGUUAGUGCAAUACCUCAAUCCUUAUAUGAUGAAAUCAAAGAGGAGAUUGCACCUAUUGAGAUAGAACCUAUAGAUGUCACUAUUCAGCUUGCCAAUAGAGAUACUAUCUGCCCUAUGGGAAUUGUUAGGGAUGUUAAAGUCUUGUGUGGUAAAACGAAGUAUCCUGCUAAUUUUCUCGUUCUUGCUACCGCACAAGAUAGCUUUUGUCCCAUCAUAUUUGGUAGACCUUUUCUCAACAUGGUCAAUGCUCAUAUUGAUUGUGAGAAGCAAACUGUCACUUUUGUCUUUGAAGGUGUGUCACAUGAGUUCAAUUUCUCUAAGUUUGGUAGACAACCUCAUGAAAAGGAGUUGCCUAGUAGGGAUGAAACUAUUGCCUUAGCCUCUAUUGUCGUGCCUCCUACUGAUCCCUUAGAGCAAUACUUGCUUGAGCAUGAAAAUGAUAUGCAUAUGGAGGAAAGGGAUGAGAUAGAUAGAGUUGUCUUAGAACAAUAUCCUAUCCUUAAGAAUAACUUGCCUGUUGAACUGCUUGGGGAUCCACCCCCACCAAAGGGUGAUCCUAUGUUCGAACUUAAAAAGUUGCCUGAUACUCUUAAUUAUGCCUAUCUUGAUGAAAAGGAGAUAUAUCCUGUUAUUAUUAGUGCUAGCCUCUCGAAGCAUGAAGAAAAUAAGUUACUAAAAACUCCGAGGAAGCACCAUGCUGCUAUUGGAUAUACUCUUGAUGAUCUUAAGGGCAUUAGUCCUACCCUAUGCCAGCACAAGAUUAAAACUGAUCCUGAUUUCAAACUAGUUGCUGACCAUCAAAGGAGAUUGAAUCCUAAGAUGAAAGAAGUAGUAAGAAAAGAAAUACUAAAGUUACUAGAAGCAGGUAUCAUCUAUCCUGUUGCUCAUAGAGAUUGGGUGAGUCCGGUGCAUUGCGUCCCUAAGAAGGGAGGCAUUACCGUUGUCCCUAAUGAUAAGGAUGAAUUGAUCCCACAGAGUAUUAUUACUGGCUAUAGGAUGGUGAUCGAUUUUAGGAAACUGAAUAAAGCCACUAGGAAAGAUCAUUACCCUUUUCCUUUUAUCGACCAACGCUAGAAAGGUUGUCUAAACACACACACUUCUGAUUUCUAGAAGGUUAUUCUGGUUUCUCCCAAAUACCAGUUGCACAAUCUGAUCAGGAGAAAACCACUUUCACCUACCCUUUCGGUACCUUUGCCUUUAGACGUAUGCCUUUUGGCUUAUGUAAUGCACCUGCCACCUUUCAAAGAUGUCUGAUGGCUAUAUUCUCUGACUUUUGUGAAAAGAUUGUUGAGGUUUUCAUGGAUGACUUCUCCGUUUAUGGGUCUUCUUUUGAUGAUUGCCUCAGCAACCUUGAUCGAGUCUUACAGAGAUGUAAAGACACCAAUCUUGUCUUGAAUUGGGAGAAGUGCCACUUUAUGGUUAAUGAAGGCAUCGUCUUAGGACAUAAAAUUUCUGAAAGAGGUAUUGAAGUCGAUAAGGCUAAGGUUGAUGCAAUCGAGAAAAUGCCAUACCCCACAGAUAUCAAAGGUAUAAGAAGUUUCCUUGGUCAUGCUGGUUUCUAUAGAAGGUUCAUCAAAGACUUCUCUAAGAUUUCUAGGCCUCUUACCAAUCUCUUACAAAAGGAUAUUCUUUUUGUUUUUGAUGAUGAUUGUGAGGAAGCCUUCUAAAUACUUAAGAGGUCUUUGAUAACUGCACCUAUUGUUCAACCACCUGAUUGGAACUUAUCUUAUGAGAUCAUGUGUGAUGCUAGUGAUUAUGCUGUUGGUGUUGUCCUAGGGCAAAGAGUCGAUAAGAAGUUGAAUGUUAUUCACUAUGCUAGUAAAACUCUAGACAGUGCCCAAAGAAACUAUGCCACUAUGGAGAAGGAGUUUUUAGCAGUCGUAUUUGCAUGUGAAAAGUUCAGGUCUUACAUAGUUGAUUCCAAAGUCACUAUUCACACUAAUCAUGCUGCUAUUAAGUACCUCAUGGAGAAGAAGGACGCUAAACCUAGACUUAUAAGAUGGGUUCUCUUGCUACAAAAAAUUGAUUUGCACGUUGUCGACAGAAAGGGUGUUGAUAACCCUGUAGCAGAUAACUUGUCCAGGUUGGAGAACGUUCUUGAUGACCCACAACCUAUUGCGAUAGCUUUCCCGAUGAGCAAUUGAAUGUCAUGAACACCUCACGCAGUGCACCAUGGUAUGCUGAUUAUGCAAACUAUAUCGUUGCCAAAUAUAUACCACCUAGUUUCAUGUACCAGCGAAAGAAGAAAUUCUUCUUUGACUUGAGACAUUACUUCUGGGAUGAUCCUCACCUUUAUAAGGAAGGAGUAGAUGGUGUUAUUAGACAUUGUGUACCUGAACAUGAACAGGGACAAAUCCUACAGAAGUGUCACUCCGAGGCCUACGGAGGACACCAUGCGGGAGAUAGAACUGCACACAAGGUAUUGCAAUCAGGUUUCUAUUGGCCCACUCUCUUCAAGGAUGCACGUAAGUUUGUCUUGUCUUGUGAUGAAUGUCAAAGAAUAGGUAAUAUUAGCAAACGUCAGGAAAUGCCUAUGAACUAUUCACUUGUCAUUGAACCAUUUGAUGUUUGGGGCUUUGAUCAUAUGGGACCUUUUCCAAAAUCCAAUGGGUAUACUCACGUCUUAGUUGAUGUUGAUUACGUCACUAAGUGGGUAGAAGCUAUCCCCACUAGUAGUGCUGAUCACAACACCUCUAUCGAGAUGCUGAAAGAAGUUAUCUUCCCUAGAUUUGGAGUCCCUAGAUAUCUAAUGACCGAUGGUGGUUCACACUUCAUUCAUGGUGCUUUCCGUAAAACGCUUGCUAAGUACGAUGUCAACCAUAGAAUUGCGUCUCGCUAUCACCCUCAGUCCAGUGGUCAAGUAGAGCUAAGUAAUAUAGAUAUUAAACUGAUUCUACAAAAGACUGUCAACAGGUCUAGAAAGAAUUGGUCUAAGAAACUCGAUGAUGCACUGUGGGCUUAUAGAACUGCCUAUAAGAAGCCCAUGGGCAUGUCUCCGUACAAAAUGGUGUAUGGGAAAGCAUGUCAUUUACCUCUUGAGCUAGAGCAUAAAGCUUAUUGGGCAAUCAAAGAGCUCAACUUUGAUUUCAAACUUGCCGGUGAGAAGAGGUUAUUUGAUAUUAGCUCGCUUGACGAGUGGAGAACUCAGGCAUAUGAGAAUGCCAAGCUGUUCAAAGAGAAGGUUAAGAGGUGGCAUGAUUAGAGGAUACAAAAGCGUGAGUUCAAUGUAGGUGAUUAUGUAUUGCUAUAUAACUCUCGUUUAAGAUAUUUUGCAGGCAAGCUUUUCUCUAAAUGGCAAGGUCCCUAUGUUGUUGACGAAGUAUAUAGUUCUGGUGCUAUCAAGAUCAACAACACGGAAGGUAAUUGUCCGAGAGUGGUAAAUGGGCAGAGAAUCAAGCAUUAUAUCUCAGGUACUCCCAUAAAUGUUGAAAGCAAUAUCAUCAAUACCAUAACUCCGGAAGAAUACCUAAGGGACAUUUAUCAGCCUAUUUCAGACUCCGAAAACGAAGAGGUAUGUGAUUCGGUAAGAAAACAGAGUCCAAAACUUUUCUAGUAGGAAAUUUUCUCUGUUUUGGAAUAUUUGAAAAAAUACAAAAAAUGGAAGUAGUCCGGAAAGUGCGCGAGGAGGCGACAAGCCUGUACGACGCGGGCCCACCCCCUGGCCGCGCCGUGAGGGCUUGUGGCCACCUCGUGCACCUCCCGGACUCCGUUUUCGUACGGGGUACUUCUUCUGGUCUGGAAAAAUCAUUACAUAUAAUUCUGUUUGGUCUGACCCCUACAUCACGCAUAUUUCCUUUGUUUUUUGUUUCGAGCCUGUUUGUGUUGCAGAUCUAGAUCGCUAUGAAUUUCCCAAAAGCUCCGAAAGACAAGAUCUUCGAGAAGGUCAUCAAUCCCUACCUCACGGAAGUGCUGCAACACCCUCAAUCUAUCGAGAUGUGUGAGGGGAUGUUGCACAUCCGUGAUGUUGAGGGGCCUAAUAAGACCGGAAGCGUGGAUACGAGGCUCGAAGCAAUGGAGCAACAAGUCUUCAAGUGCCAAGGGAUGGUGGAGCGUGGACUCAACGCCAACCACAUGAUGAUCACGGAGUUCACCAACAAGAACAUGAUUGCUGCCAAUGACAUUGGGAAGCAUCUCUCCAGGCUCUAUGACAGGAUUGAUUAACUCCAGGCCCAGAUCUAUGACCUGCAGAAUCAAAACUGUGAGUAUGAGUAUAGAUUUAAAUCAAUACGGUUGGCUGCAUAUUUGAGGAUCCCGGAGACUCGUUCAUCUUUCCAUGAUGGAGCACCUAAGCCUUGGAAUAUGGAGGAUCAAACUCAUGUUGGAACAACUCCACCAUCACCACGAAAGGAAGACAACUGAGCAUUGGUAUGGGCAAUCCCCUUGGCUUGUGCCAAGCUUGGGGGAGUUGCCCCGGUAUCAUAUCACCAUCACAUCUUUUGCCUUUACCUUUGUUUUAGUUUUCCUUUUCAGUUUUUCUUUUUCUCUAGUAGUUUAAAAGUCUUAGUGUUUUAGUCUUGAGUCUUGCUUUGUGUCACCCCCGAUGUAUUCUUGCUCGUGAGCCAUAUAAUAAAGAGUGCCUUAGUUGAAGGGCUUUGCCUCUUGCCAUCAUCAAAAGAGUGAGAAUAGAACAAAAGCAUGAAAGAUCAUGUAAUGAUCUUAUGGAAAGUGAUGGCUUCACAUAUAAAAAGAAUGAGGACUGAAACUUGUUGAGGGUAGGCAAACGUAGACCUUGGUCAUUGUUGCAAUUAAUAGGAAGUGAUAAGGAAUGAGAGGUUCACAUAUAAAUAUAUCAUCUCUGACACCAUCUAUGAUUGUGACCACUCACUAAACUAUUGCAUGCCUAGAAGUAGACGUUGGACAGGGAAGACAACGUAAUGAAUUGUGUUUGCUUGUCUCUAAACAAUGUUAUAUGAUUAGAGAUCCCUUAGCAUGUGACGAUUGCUUCCACCUCAUAUUAGACAAAACUCCCGCACCAAGUAGAGAUACUACUUGUGCAUCCAUAAACCUUCAAACCAGUUUUGCCAUGAGUGUCCACCAUACCUACCUAUGGAUUGAAUAAGAUCCCUCAAGUAUGUUGUCAUCGGUGCAAGCAAUAAAAAAUGCUCUCUAAUAUGUAUGAUCUAUUAGUGUGUGGAAAAUAAGCUUUAUACCAACCUGUGAUGAGGAAGAUAUAAUAGCGACAGACUGCAUAAUAAAGUUCUUUAUCACAGAAGGCAAUAUAAAGUGACGUUCCUCCGCACUAAGAGGACACACAUCCAAACCUCAAAAGCGCAUUAGAACCUCUGCUUCCCUCUGCGAAGGGCCUAUCUUGUACCUUUACUUUUUGUCCUUGAAAGAGUCAUGGUGAUCUUCACCAAUUCCUUAUUUCGCCUUUAUCUUGGCUAACGUCAUAUGCUUGGGAAAGAUCUAUAUCCAUAUGUCAACUUGGAGGUAGGCAUUCAUGAAUUAUUAUUGUUGACAUUACCCUUGAGGUAAGCAGUUGGGAGGCAAAACUGUAAGCCCCUAUCUUUCUCUGUGUCCAGCUGAAACUUUGGUCACAUGAGUACCACGUGAGUUGUAGAAAUUGUAGAGAACGAAAGAAUGAUUGAGUAUGUGGCUUUGCUUUACAAGCUCUUAUUUGACUCUUUCUGAUGUUGUGAUAAAUUGCAAUUGCUUCAAUGACUAAAGGCUAUCGGUUGUUACUUCUCGGUAAGGUUGAUCCAUGCUUUACUUUGUGAAGGAAUUAUCACUUUAGCUUGAGAGAUUAUAUGUUGGUAUUGCUGUUCUGAUCUUGAUCAUGAUGCAUGCAUAUUCGUAUCUUGUUUUGUCGACACCUCUCUCCCUAAACAUGUGGACAUAUUUAUUGAGCUAGGCUUUCGCUUGAGGACAAGCGAGGUCUAAGCUUGGGGGAGUUGAUACGUCCAUUUUGCAUCAUGUUUUCAUGUUGAUAUUUAUCGCUUCUUUGGUUGUUAUUUCACUUCACGCUACAAUUCUUAUGCCUUUUCUCUCUUAUUUUGCAAGGUUUACAUGAAGAGGGAGAAUGCCGGCAACUGGAAUUCUGGCCUGAAAGUGGAGCAAAGUUGAGAUACCUAUUCCGCGCAACUCCGAACGCCGUAAAAAUCAACGAGGAUUUUUUCCCGAUUUAUCAAAAAUACUGGGCCAAAGAAGUGCCAGAGGGGCACCAGGGGGUGCCCACAAGCCUGCACGGCGCGGCCACCCCCCCCAGGCUGCGCCAUGGGGGCUUGUGGGCAGCCCACUGGCCCACUUGCCCCCCUCUUUUGCUAUAUGGAGGGUUUCGUCUAGAAAAAAAUAAGGAGGAGCUUUUUAGUGGUUUCGCUGCUGCCACGAGGCGGAACUUGAGCAGAACCAAUCUAGAGCUCCGGCAGGACGAUCCUGCCGGGGAAACUUCCCUCCCGGAGGGGGAAAUGAUUGCCAUCAUCAUCACCAACACUCCUCUCAUCGGAGGGGACUCGUCACCAUCAACAUCUUCAUCAGCACCAUCUCAUCUCCAAACCCUAGUUCAUCACUUGUAACCAUUCUCCAUCUCGCGACUCCGAUUGGUACUUGUAAGGUUGCUAGUAGUGUUGAUUACUCUUUGUAGUUGAUUCUAGUUGAAUUACUUGGUGGAAGAGUUUAUGUUCAGAUCCUUGAUGCUACUCAUUACCUCUCCGGUCAUCAAUAUGAUUAUGCUUUGUGAGUAGUUACUUUUGUUCCUGAGGACAUGGGAUAAGUCAUGCUAAUAGUAGUCAUGUGAAUUUGGUAUUCGUUCGAUAUUUUGAUGUGUUGUAUGUUGUUUUUCCUCUAGUGGUGUUAUGUGAACGUCGACUACAUAACACUUCACCAUUAUUUGGGCCUAGAGGAAGGCAUUGGGAAGUAAUAAGUAGAUGAUGGGUUACUAGAGUGACAGAAGGUUAAACCCUAGUUUAUGCGUUGCUUCGUAAGGGGCUGAUUUGGAUCCACUAGUUUAAUGUUAUGGUUAGGCUUUGUCUUAAUUCUUCUUUCGUAGUUGCGGAUGCUUGCAAGAGGGGUUAAUCAUAACUGAGAUUCUUAUCCAGGUAAGGGCAGUAGCCAAGCGCCGGUCCACCCACAUAUCAAACUAUCAAAGUAACGAAAGCGAAUCAUAUGAACAUGAUGAAACUAGCAUGACAGAAAUUCCCAUGUGUCCUCGGGAGCGUUUUUCCUCCUAUAAGACUUUGUCCAGGCUUGUCGCUUGCUAUAAAAGGGAUUGGGCCACUUUGCUGCACCGUUGCUACUUUUGUUACUUGUUGCUCGCUAUGAAUCAUCUCACCACACAAUCACUUGUUACCGACAAUUUCAGUGCCUCCAGAUUUUUCCUUGCUGAAACCACUUGUCGGAUCCUUCUGCUCCUCGUUGGGUUCGACACUCUUACUUAUCGAAAGGAAUACGAUUGAUCCCCUAUACUUGUGGAUCAUCAUUCACCCACCGUAAUACUUGCUAUUUUGAGAGAAGCCUCUAGUGAACACUAUGGCCCCCAGGGUCUACUCCACACCAUAUUUUCAGCCUUACACUUUUUUACUUUGUUGCACUUUCCGCCUUCAGAUCUCACUUUGCAAACAAUCUUGAAGGGAUUGUAAACCCCUUUGAAGCGUUGGGUGCAAGCUUGUUUGUGUUUGCACAGGUACUCUGGACUUGACGAGACCCUCCUUCUGGAUCGAUACCUUGGUUCUCAAGCUGAGGGAAAUACUUACUGCUCAUGUGCUGCAUCACCCUUUCCUAUUCAAGGGAAAAACCAAUGCCAGCCCAGCCUCCGUCAACGUGUCAAUUUCUAGCGCUGUUGUCUGUGGGAUAGCAGAAGAAAUUCUGGCGCCGUUGCCAGGGAGGAAGAUCAAGUUAAGGACUCAUCCAAGUAGGUGUCGCAAACUCAUCUCUUGCAUUUACUUUGUUUGCCAGUUGCGUCUCGUUUUCCUCUCCUCCACUUCACCAAUUUUCCUUUUUCGUUCGCCCUUUUUCUCGCCUGCUCUUUGUUUGCCUGUGUGCUUGCUUGCUUGUUGAAGUCACCAUGAACGAAAAUACCAAACUUUGUGACUUCUCGAAUACUAAUAAUAAUGAUUAUAUUAGUACUCCGAUUGCUCCCGCCACUAGUGCGGAGUCAUCGAAAUCAAUGCCGCUUUGCAGAAUCUUGUUAUGAAAGAGCAAUUCUCUGGCCUUCCUAGUGAAGAUGCCGCAUCCCAUCUCAAUACCUUCAUUGAGCUUUGCGAUAUGCAAAAGAAAAAAGAUGUGGAUAAUGACGUGAUUAAAUUGAAGCUUUUUUCCUUUCUCGUUGCGAGAUCGCGCAAAAACUUGGUUUUCUUCUUUGCCCAAAAAUAGUAUCGAUUCUUGGGAUAAGUGCAAAGAUGCUUAUAUAUCCAAGUAUUUUCCGCCGGCUAAGAUCAUCUCUCUCCGUAAUUAUAUCAUGAAUUUCAAGCAACUUGAUCAUGAACAUGUUGCACAAUCUUGGGAGAGAAUGAAAUUAAUGAUUAGAAAUUGUCCAGCUCAUGGCUUGAGUCUUUGGAUGAUUAUUCAAAUCUUUUACGCUGGCUUGAAUUUCGCUUCUAGAAAUAUCUUGGAUUCCGCUUCAGGUGGAACGUUCAUGGAAAUCACGUUAGGAGAAGCCACAAAACUCUUAGACAACAUCAUGACAAACUACUCUCAGUGGCACACUGAAAGGUCACCUACUAGUAAGAAGGUGCACGCUAUAGAAGAAAUUGACUCAUUGAGUGCUAAGAUGGUUGAGUUGAUGAAUUUGGUUGCUAGUAGAAGUGCUCCUUUAGAUCCUAAUGAUAUGCCCUUGUCUUCUUUGAUUGAGAGUAGCAACGCUAGCUUGGACGUUAAUUUUGUUGGUAGGAAUAACUUUGGCAACAACAAUGCUUUUAGAGGAAACUAUGUUCCUAGGCCUUUUACUAGUAACUCCUGUAAUAAUUUUGGCAACUCCUACAACAAUAAUCAUGGAAAUUAUAAUAGAUUACCCUCUGAUCUAGAGAGUAAUAUCAAAGAGUUCAUCAACUCGCAAUUUUUUUUCAAUUCGUCCAUAGAAGAAAAACUACUCAAAAUUGACGAUUUGGCUAAGAGCGUUGAUAGAAUGUCUAGUGAUGUUGAUGCUUUGAAAGUUAGAUGUGCUCCUCCCAAAAUCAACAUGGAUGAAACUUUGAAAGCUUUGUGUGUUUCCAUGAUUGAAAGCCAAGAAAUAACCGCCCAAAUUCGUGCUAGACAUGAAUGGCUUAAAAAGGCGUGUUCUCGUGAUGAGAAUCACGAAGAUCUUAAAGUGCUCGGUGUGACUCCUAUUGAAUAUUUGUUUUCUUGUGUCAAACCUAAUGAUUAUGGGGCUGGAUAUGAAUCCACGUUGGUUGAAAAGUGCCCCAAAGAUUCAGAGUCCAUCUAUCUUGAUGCUAAAAGCAUUAAAAGUGGAGUAGAAGAUGUUAAAACUUUGAGUAGUAAUGAAAUUACUACCGUGGAUUUCAAGGAAUUCAAUUAUGAUAGUUGCUCCUUGAUUGAAUGCAUUUCUUUGAUGCAAUCCAUGUUAAACUCUUCACACGCUUAUAGCCAAAACAAGGCCUUUACCGAUCAUAUCGUCGAAGCUAUGAUAAAAUCUCUUGAAGAGAAACUUGAAUUGGAAGUCUCUAUCCCUAGAAAGCUUCAUGAUGAGUGGGAACCUACUAUCAAAAUCAAAAUCAAAAACUAUGAAUGCAAUGCUUUGUGUGAUUUGGGUGCUAGUGUUUCUGCGAUUCCAAAGUCUUUAUGUGAUAUUCUGGGUUUUAAUGAGAUUGAAGAGUGUUAUCUUAAUUUGCAUCUUGUUGAUUCUACUGUCAAGAAACCCAUGGGAAGGAUCAAUGAUGUUCUUAUUAUUGCACAUAGGAACUAUGUACCCGUGGAUUUCAUUGUGCUUGACAUUGAUUGCAAUCCUACAUGCCCUAUUAAUCUUGUUAGACCUUUUCUAAGGACUAUCGGUGCUAUCAUCGAUAUGAAGGAAGGGAAUAUUAGAUUUCAAUUUCCUUUAAGGAAGGGCAUGGAACACUUUCCUAGAAAGAAAAUAAGAUUGCCUUUUGAAUCCAUGAUGAGGGCCACUUAUGGUUUGAGCACCAAAGACGACGAUAUGUGAUUCUAUCGCUUUUAUGCCUAGCUAAGGGCGUUAAACAAUAGCGCUUGUUGGGAGGCAACCCAAUGAAUUUAUCUUUUUCUUUCUGUUUUGCUGCGUCCAUACUUUCAUAAUUCUGUUGUGAUUGUGUUUUUUGUGUUUCUUUUUGUGUUGGAGCCAAGCAAAGCCUUUAUGACUAGUCUUGGUAAUGGUUGAUUGAUCCUGCUGGAAAAAGCGAACUCUUUUCGCUCACGAGAUGAUUUUUCAUUUUUAUUCAGAAAGAGAUUUUGAGUUGAUUCUUUUUGCUGCUGAUUGAUAUACGUUUUUCCUAGGCCGUCGUAAUUGUUCAGAUUUUUUGAGGUACCAUAAGUAUACGAAGUAUACAGAUUGCUACAGACUGGUCUGUUUUGACAGAUUUUAUUUUUGUUGAGUUGGAUGCUUGUUUUGAUGAAACUAUGGUAAGUAUCGGGGGGUACUAGCCGUGUAAAAGUGAGAAUACAGUAGCCCAACAUCAAUAUAGGUAUAAUUCAAGUUUGCUACAGUACCAAAAGAAGUGAUAGUUUGUUUUCUUGUGGUAAUGUUAUCAUGAGUUUCUGUUUAAGUUUUGUGUUGUGAAGUUUUCAAGUUUUGGGUGAUGUUCUCAUGGACGAUGAGAUAAGGAGUGGAAAGAGCUCAAGCUUGGGGAUGCCCAAGGCAUCCCAAGCGAAAUUCAAGGACACCAAAAAGCCUAAGCUUGGGGAUGCCCCGGGAAGGCAUCCCCUCUUUUGUCUUCAAUCCAUCGGUAACAUUACUUGGAGCUAUAUUGUUAUUCACCACAUGAUAUGUGUUUUGCUUGGAGCGUCUUGUAUCAUAGGAGUCUUUUCUUUUUGUUGUGUCACAAUCAUCCUUUCUGCACACCUUUUUGAGAGAGAGAGAGAUAUGCACUCAUCGUGAUUUUGCUAAAAUGCUCAUAGUGCUUCACUUAUAUCUUUUGAGCUAAAUACUUUUGCUCUUGUGCUUCACUUAUAUCUUUUGAGCUAGACACUUUUGCUCUUGUGCUUCACUUAUAUCAUUAGAGCACGGCGGUGCGUGAUUUGGUAGUUGGCUUAUGCUAUGAAAGUAGUCCCAAAUGUGAUAGGUACCGAAAGAGGAUACAACAACCUCCAUCUUCAUGUGCAUUGAAUAGAAAGAGAAGUUUUGAUUCCUCUCAAUUAGUUUUGAGACGUGGAUUCGGUAAUAUUAAGAGUUAUGUUAGCAGGGUGUUGUGAAUCUAGAAAUACUUGUGUUGAAGUUAGUGAUUCCCGUAGCAUGCACGUAUGGUGAACCGUUAUGUUAGGAAGUCGGAGCAUAAUUGAUCUAUUGAUUGUCAUCCUUUGGGUUGAGGUCGGGAUCACGCGAUGGUUAACACCUACCAACCCUUCCCCUCGGAGUAGGCGUUUAGAACUUUGUUUCGAUUACUAAUAAAAACUUUUGCAACAAGUACGUGAGUUCUUCAUGACUAAUGUGACUCCAUGGUAUAGAUGCACUUUCACCUUCCACCAUUGCUAGCCUCUAUAGUGCCGCGUAAUUCUCGCCGUUGCACAAACGCACCAAAUUCCUUCCUCAAAACAGCCACCAUACCUACCUACUAUGGCAUUUUCAUAGCCAUUCCGAGAUAUAUUGCCACGCAACUCCCACCAUUCCGUCUCAUGAGUUGUGCCGUCACUCUCAUAUUGCCAUCGCUUGAUCGUAAGAUAGCUAGCAAGAUGUUUCAAUGUCAUACGCCAUGCUAGAUCGUUGCACAUCCCGGUACACUGCCGGAGGCAUUUCCUAUAGAUUCAUCAUCAUUUUGAGCUGUGAGUAAAUAAAAGUGUGAUGAUCAUCAUUGUUAGAGCAUUGUCUCAUGUGAAGGAAAUAAAAAAAAAGAGGCCAAAGAUACCCAAAAACAAAAAAAAAGGGAAGAAAAAAAAGGAAAAAAAAAGAGGCUUAAGAGCCCAAAAAAACAGAGAGGAAAAGAGAGAAGGGACAAUGCUACUAUCUUUUUCCACACUUGUGAUUCAUGAUAGCACCAUGUUCUUCAUGAUUGAGAGCUUCUUGCUUUGUCACUACCAUAUGCUAGUGGGAAUCUUCAUUAUAUAACUUGGCUUGUAUAUUCCAAUGAUGGGCUUCCUCAAAAUCGCCCUAGGUCUUCGUGAGCAAGCAAGUUGAUUGCACACCCACUAGUUCUAAUUUUGAGCUUUCACAUGCUUAUAGCUCUAGUGCAUCUCUUGUAUGACAAUCCCUACUCAUUCACAUUGAUAUCUAUUAAUGGGCAUCUCCAUAGCCUUUUUGAUACGCCUAGUCAAUGUGACCAUCUCCUCCCGUUUUGUCUCACAACCACCACCACACUCUAUUCCACCUAUAGUGCUAUAUCCAUGGCUCGCGCUCAUGUAUUGCGUGAUAGUUAUAAAAAGUUUGAGAAAGUAAGAGUGCGAAAACAAUUACUUGGCCAAUACUAGGGUUGUGCAUGAUUUACAUUUGUCGUGUGAAGAUGAUGGAGCAUAGCCACACUAUAUGAUUUUGUAGGGAUAACUUUCAUUGGCCUUGUUAUUUUGAAAGUUCAUGAUUACCUUGCUAGUUUGCUUGAAGUAUUAUUGUUUUCAUGUCAAUAUCAAACUAUUGUUUUGAAUCUUACGGAUCUGAACAUUCAUGCCAUGUGAAAGAAGUUGCAAAGGACAACUAUGCUAGGUAGCAUUCCACAUCCAAAAUUCAUUCUUUAUCACUUCCCUACUUGAGGACGAGCAGGAGUUAAGCUUAGGGAUGCUUGAUACGUCUCAAACGUAUCUAUAAAUUUUGAUGGUUUCAUGCUAUUAUCUUGUCAAACUUUGGAUGUUUUGUAUGCCUUUUAUAUAUUUUUUGGGACUAACUUAUUAACUCAGUGUCAAGUGCCAGUUCCUGUUUUUUCCAUGUUUUUGACCCCUUUCAGAGGAGAUUUUGAAACGGAGUCCAAACGGAAGAAAAUUCCCGAAAAUAUUUUUUCUCGAACGGAAGAAGAUCGGGAAGCUUGGGAGCCAAGGCAGGGGAGCCUCAGGGGCCCCACAAGCCCCCACCCCGCGGCCAGGGGGGAGGCCGCGCCAUCCAGGCUUGUGGGCCCCCUGGACGCCCUUUUCCCUAGGUCUUUCACCUAUAUAUUCCACUAAAUUCCAUAAAAAAAUCAGGAGAUCAUCGAAAGUACUUUUCCGCCGCCGCAAGCUUCUCUCUCCGCAAGAUCCCAUCUGGGGCACGUUCUGGUGCCCUGCCGGAGGGGAGAUUCGGAUACGGAGGGCUUCUUCAUCAACACCAUGACCUCUCCGAUGAUGUGUGAGUAGUUCACCAUAGACCUACGAGUCCAUAGUUAGUAAUUAGAUGGCUUCUUCUCUCUCUUGGAUCUUCAAUACAAAGUUGUCCAUGAUCUUCACGGAGAUCUAUCCGAUGUAAUCUUCUUUUGCGGUGUGUUUGUCGAGAUCUGAUGAAUUGUGGAUUUAUGAUCAGAUUAUCUAUGAAUCUUAUUUGAGUUUCUUCUGAUCUCUCUUAUGCAUGAUUUCAUAUCCUUGUAAUUCUCUUCAAGUUGUGGGUUUUGUCUUGCCAACUAGAUCUAUGAUUCUUGCAAUGAGAGAAGUUCUUGGUUUUGGGUUCAUACCGUACAGUGACCUCACCCAGUGAUAGAAGGAGUAGCGAGGGACGCAUCGUGUUGUUGCCAUCAAGGGUAAAAAGAUGGGGUUUUCAUCAUUUGUUUGAGAUUAUCCCUCUACAUCAUGUCAUCUUACUUAAAGCGGUACUCUGUUCGUCAUGAACUCAAUACACUAGAUGCAUGCUGGAUAGCGGUCGAUGUGUGGAGUAAUAGUAGUAGAUGCAGAAAGUAUCGGUCUACUUGUCUCGGACGUGAUGCCUAUAUGUAUGAUCAUUGCCUUAGAUAUCGUGAUGACUUUGCGCGGUUCUAUCAAUUGCUCGACAGUAACUUGUUCACCCACCGUAAUACUUGCUAUUUUGAGAGAAGCCUCUAGCGAACACUAUGGCCCCUCGGGUCUACUCCACACCAUAUUUUCAGCCUUACACUUUUUACUUCGUUGCACUUUCCGCCUUCAGAUAUCACUUUGCAAACAAUCUUGAAGGGAUUGACAACCCAUUUGAAGCGUUGGGUGUAAGCUUGUUUGUGUUUGCGCAAAUACUGUGCACUUGACGAGACCCUCCUUCUGAAUCGAUACCUUGAUUCUCAAACUGAGGGAAAUACUUACUGCUCCUCUGCUGCAUCAACCUUUCCUCUUUAAGGGAAAACCAAUGCAAGCUCAGCCUCCGUCAACGUGUCAAUUUCUCACGCCGUUGUUUGUGGGAUAGCAGUGGCGCACGGACUGAAGGGCGAGCCAUCAGAGGCGUGAGCAUACGGCAAACUCGAGCGCAAAAGUCGGUCCACUGGGUGCAAGUGAGGGUGGCUCGCUCUCGCAUUGGGGCCAGGGUGUGGGCGGGAUCUGCGGUCGGCUGUGCCACUAAUGGGGUGAUCACAGCGAUAGGAGAAGCGGGCGCAGUACCACCGGAGAGGCUAACCAUGCACGUGGUCCCCUCAUGCAUGUAUGCAACCCCCAUCCCCAACUCAUGGGGUCCAUGUGCAUGCCACAGACCGGGAGAUAGCUCACCCUCCAUCAGCGAGCCGCAGCUCGAGAAACUGUCAAAAAUUAUCAGAUGCCCUGUCCAGCAGCUGAUCUUCUGGAGGCAGUAGAGUUGGGUCAGAUUCUUGUUCCUCUUCAUCCCCGAGGCAGGUUCCAGGAGCCAAUAAUUAAUCUAGAGGGAGAGGACACGAAUUCCUUAUCGUCUUGCACUCGGCGCAGUGCCGAAUCACCCCCCCGCGUGUGCCAGCGAUGCACCGCAUGAUGGUUGGCAUACACAGGCAUGGGAUUCCUCAUGUUCCUACCUUUGGUCCCUCGCAAGCCCCGUCGCCACGCAGGAGGCAGACGAUGAUGCCUCCGGGGCUCUUUAUAUUUCCACGUGGCACAAAGGUAGAGGCCACGAACCUGACCUUCCACCACAACAUUUCUUUGCAUAGGCUGCACCGUUGACCGGUCAACAUCGGUCGUGUGAACGCACGCUUGCCGUGCUGAAGGAGUUGAACCUGCCGAGGAGCAAGGCCACGACAGCGAGGGGCCAUGCACCAACGCACCAGCAGGGUCAGCGCGCGGGCGGCAUGUCCUCGACCUGCCGCGACGACUUCCAUGAUCUUCGGGCCCGACCGAGUCGUCGUCCUCCGACGGUGGCGGUGACGACACGCUCGACGCUGGCCCGCUCCCCUCGCUUGGGGUCGUCACCGGAGCCUCUUGUAUGAUCUCCACCGAGUACCAAAGGGCGCCCGGGACGCCAUCCUCAUGUCGGACAUCCCAUUGCCCUCGUUCCUCCAUGACUAGGAUACGACGAAAUGGGAUCCACUCAGGGUCAUCGGUGCGCAACUAAACUCUGAAUGCUCACGUGCUGUCCCACAGCAUCGUGUUGUGUGCCACCUUGAUGAUAAUACCCAGCCCUAGAGUAGCGACUCCACCGUGCGCCUGAUCCAAGCAUUUGUUGGGACACACCAGAGUGCCAUAGGCACGAGGAAUGGCAUCAAUAUGGCCGUGGCCUAAGCCUGGCGAAUCCAGGGCCGUAGCGAGAGCACGAACUGGUCUGUCAUGGCGCGGCCACCUGGCACCAAAGUGUUUCACGUGUGUGGUUUCAAUUCAUUUGAAUUAGAUUGUCAUGUGAUGUAUCGAAAAGGAUCCCUAAAAACUUUGAUGCAAUACCUCAAGAGCGGAGUAGUAAUGAAAAAUAAUAGAAAGAGUACAAAUGAAUUUGGUAAUGUGUUGAAAGAAUUUGAAAAUUUAAGGCGUGAGUUGGGAGUACCCCAACAAGGAGGUGCUCAUCACGUAUCUAUCCGGAAUAAUAUGUUCCAACUCGAUGAGCUCCUUUACCAGGAGGAGAUGAUGUGGUUGCAACUUUCUUGUAUGAGUUGGCUGAAAAGUACCGAAGAGCAGUUUAGUGGGCUCAAAAUAAUUGAACUAAGCUUGUUUCUUCACAAAGUGCACUAUAUGUUGUUUGCCAUAACAUGAAAAGUAAUCUUGUAUUUUUUGCAAUCAAUAACAGGAACUGCAGUAUUGAAAAAGGUUUAUCAAGGAUAAUCAACAUGUUAUCGUCCUUGGACAUUUAAGAAUAACAAAGUCUGUUAAGAUAGUAACAUUUGCAACCACAAUACAGACAUUCUCAGAAAUUCCAAUAGGCAUAGUAGUGGAUUUGUCAGCCAUUUGUAAAGAUAUAUCAGUAGGUGUAAGCUUAUUCAAAUCAAGUCUUUUAUAUAAAUAGAAAGACAUAACACUAACACCAGCUCCUAGAUCACUUAAAGUAGUUUUAACAUAACGUCGUUUAAUGGAGCAAGGUAUCGAGAGUAUACAAGGAUCUCCCAACUUCUUAAACACUCCACCAUCCAAAGAACAAUUAGUAAGGAUGAUGAAAAUACCAGCUUCACGUAUCUUUCUUUUAUUAGUGAUAGUAUCUUUCAUAUGUUUAGCAUAAGGAGGCAUUUUCAAGAUAUCUCUCAAACGCGUCUGUAAAAAUAUGGGUCUAAGCAUUUAAAAAAAGUGCUCAAAAUCCUCCUCGUCCUUAUACUUAGAAGGAUUACGAGGAAAGGGCAUGGGUUUUUCAACCCAUGGCUCUAUUUCUAUACAACGUUUCCUAGCAAUAAAAUCUUUCUUAUCAUAACGUUUAUUCUUGGGAUGUGGGUUAUCAAGAUCAUCAACAUGUUCUAUUUUCCACAUCAUUAUUAGGUUCUUUAUCCUUAUCUUGCUGAGCAUCUAGAUGGGCAUCAUUAUUACCAUUAUCACUAGGUGGUUGUUACCUACCACAUUGUGUCUCAGCAUCAGAAAUAGAAACAUCAUUAUGAUUCUGAGAAGAUUUUCUAUAACAAAUUCUUUGGAAGCAUGCAAAAUCCUAUCUUUUAUUUUUAUUUCCUUUUUAUUUUUAGAUGGACUAGGUGCAUCAUCAUUAAUUCUCCGAGAAUCAUAUUCAAUUCUUUGUGGAUGACCUUCGGGAUAAAGAGGUUCCUAGGUCAUUUUACCACCUCUAGUCAUUACUCUAACAUCAUGAUCAUUUUGUUUAUCAUUUGUUUUAGCAAGCAAAUUAUUUUGUGACUUAGCAACGUGUUCUAGUUGAGUGUGAACUAUGGAUGCAUGUUUACCUAGACCUUUAACAUCAUUAGCAAUUCUAAGCAUUAAGUCACUCAAACGAUCAAUCGUCAUGGCAUUUAGUUAUAGUUGAUUUUUAACAUGCAUAUUAAAAUGUUCUAGCUUAAAAAUAUAUUUAUAAAAUUAAUCCAUGCAUUGAUCAAUGGUUUUAUUAUAAGGUAUAUCACCCUCAUCAAAUCUAUGAAGAGAAUUUACUGCUACUACCUGUGUAGGGAGAUUGACUCAUGUAUUUCUUCAAUAGGUGGUAAAUUCUUGACAUCUACAGAUUUAAUAUCUUUUUCUUUCAAUAGGUUGAGAAUAUCAUUUAGUUUGGUAAGAUGUGUCACAACAGUUUCAAGUUCUUAACCAUGAAAAUAUCAGAUUCUACCUAAGAAUUUACUCAGGAUCAAUAGAUAAUUCAUAAUCCCUACCAAUAACACAUAUAGGAGAAGUAGAAAACUUAGGAUCAUAUUUCAUUUUCUCCAUCAUAGAUUUUUCUUUCAGCUUACAAAACAAUUUCCUUAAUCAUCUGCAUCAUUACAAGCAAGAAAGUCUCUAGCUAUUGCCCCAUCCAUAACAUAACCAUCAGGUACGUCACGCAUAGUAAAUCUAGUAGGAGAGCUAGGCAUAAUAGGCGAAUCAUAGUUUUCACCAGUUUCAAAAUUUUCAAUUUAUUAAGAUCUAGCAAUAUGAGCAUCAAGUAAUUCAUUAAGUGGCACAAUUUCAGUUUUAUCUAGCAUAGUUGUAGCAUCAUCAUUAACAUCCUCCAUAGUAGAAGCAGUAUAAAAUUGAAUAACACGUGGAGGUGUCAUAAGUUGGUUCAAAACAGAAGGUGAAUCAAAUGCGGAACUAGAUGGCAGUUCCUUACAUCCCCUUCUCCUAGAGGGUAAGAUCUUAGUAUUAGGGUCUUUAAGUUUCCUCAUCAUGAUAAGUGAGAAUCCUAAAUAAAGUCAGUAAAUAGAGCUAUGCUCCCCUGCAACAGUUCCAGAAAAAUGUCUCGACAAUCCACAACUAUAGGGGAUCACAACAGCCUUUAUGGGUAGUAUUACAUCCUAAUUUAUUGAUUCUACACAAGGAAAGCGAAAAAAUAUUUCUUGAUCAUAGCAGUUAAGUUGUCAAUUGGGAAAAUUCCAUUUUCAACCCAAAACUCGUAGAGGUCGGCAAAACGUACCCUAAAGUUGAUACCCCGAUCGAUUGCAUCGUAAACUAUGCAAUCCCGGUCUAAAUUGGAUUCUCACGUCAUUUGAGGCAUAAAAACGCUGAAGUUGAAGGGGUACGUGUGGCUCAUGAUCCAAGGCACGCAUCCGACUUCCGCCCUAGGCCAACACAUUUCUAUUUUUUGUCUUUUAAAAAAUGUUUUUUCUUGUUAAAAGGAGCAGCUAUUGAACGCAAAGAACAUCGCACAACACAAAGUGAGAGACGUGUGUCGAGCUGACACCAGCGAGGGUGCACAUUUUGUGUUUCCUCUUUGGGCGGUAGGAGGUCAUCACAUGGCUGGAGACACGAGGUGCUGAAAAAAGUGAGAACGCUUGAGGCGAGUCGAUCGCUGGAAAAUGCUAUUUGACGUUGUGUGCGAAGCCGUGUGAGGGCUUCGCAUAGAGCGGGAGAGCGAUCGGGCUGGCCCAGUUAGCAGGGUUGCAGUGCCCGGUUUUGCAAACCUUCUAGAGGUCCGAGACAGUUUUUUACGGUUUUGGGGAACUUCUAGAAGGUUCCGUGAACCGUUUUUUUCCUUUUCAUUUUUUUAUUCUUUUCUCUUUUUUUCUUUCUGCUUUUGUUUCAAAAAUUGUUCUAGAUGUUCAAAAGGUGUUUUUGGAUUUUAAAAAUGUUCUUGAUUAAAAAAACGUUUUGUAUUUUCAAAAAUUGUUCCCGAUUUCUAAAAUUAUUCUUCAGAUUCAAAUGUGUUCUCCUUUUCAAAAUUUUAUUCUUAAAAUUCAAAAAAUGUUCGGGUUUUAAAAAAUUGUUUGCGCUUCCAAAUUUAUUCAGGAUUUUCAAAAUUGGUCUCAAUUUCCAAAUUUUAUCUCAUAAUUCAAAAAUGUUCGUCCUUUAAAAAUUUGUUCAAGCUUCUAAAUUUGUUUGCAGUUUUUCCAAUUUGUUCUCAAGAUUCAAAAAAUGUUUGCGCUUCCGAAAAAUUUCACGUUUUUAAAAAUUGUUUUCAGUUUGAAAAUAUGUUUUUAAAUUCAAAAGAAAUUGUGCUUCAAAUAUCUGUUCGCGCUUUCGAAUUUGUUUGGGGUUUCUCAAAAUUGUUCUCCUUUUAAAAAAAUUGUUCUCAAGAUUCAAAAAAUGUUCAUGCUUUAAAAAAUUGUCCGCGCUUCCAAAUUUGUUCAUAUUUUUUUUAAAUUGUUCUUGAUUUCAAAAUUUGUUCUAAAAAAUUUAAAAGUGUUCGUGCUUUCAAAUUUGUUUGGGGUUUUCAAAAUUUUGUUCUUAAGAUUCAAAAAAAGUUCGUGCUUUAAAAAAUUGUUCGCGCUUCCAAAUUUGUUCACGUCUUCUUAAAUUGUUCUCGGUUUUAAAAUUUAUUCUCAAAAUUCAAAAAAAGUUUGUGCUUUCAAAUUUGUUCACACUUUCAAAUAUGCUCGGGGUUUUUCAAAAAAUUUCUCCCUUUUAAAAUUUUGUUCCUAAGAUUUAUAAAAUGUUUAUGUUUUAAAAGAUUGUUCGUGCUUCCAAAAUUUUCAAGUUCCUUUAAUUUGUUAUUAAAAUUCGAAAAAUAUUUUUUUCUUCAAAUAAAAAAGGUAAAAGGAAAUAAAAAACGAAACAAAAAAGAAAAUAAACAAAAAAGGAAAAUAGUAAAAGAAAAAGAAACAUAACUGGGACGGCCCAUUCGGGGCGCCCCCUGUGCGACGGAGGGCUCCAUGUCGCAAUGAACAAGAGUUCCCUCGAUCACUGGUUGUUCGUCUGCUGCAGACCACAAGGGCGAGCUGCCAAUGUAUGCGCCCUAGCUUGCACGACGGAGUGAAAACCAAAUUUGGUUGACAAUUGCUAAAAACUAUGUCUCAAAUGUUUUAAAAAUUCUAAAAGUUUAUAGUCUAAUGUUUCAUAAAUAUGUAAAUUCUGAAACACAAAACAAAUUUCAUUCGGGAGCUAUGAAGAAAUUCAACAUUAUUGUUAGUAAUUUAACAUUAUGACAUUUUUCUUGUUACCUGAUUUACUUUUACACACUUUUGUCUAAAGAUGAAUGUUUUGUGUAUGACAAGAGUGAAGUAUUUUAGUUUGCGAUAUGCCAAGGCUCUAACAAUUUGCUAGCUCUGCCAUUGUUUACAAAUAUUUGUACGUCUCUAAAAUUUUUAGGAAUACAAUUAAAUGCCUAAUACUGUUAUGAAAACCAAAAUAUUAUUGGAAUUCCAAUUUUUUCAGUCCACACAUUUUAAAAAACUUGAACAAUUUUUGAAAUCCGAAACAUUUUUUUAGCUAUGAACAUUUUUUGAAAACAGAAACGGUUUCCAAAAUUCCCCAAAUAAUAAAUAGAAAAUAGGAACAUAUUUUGAAGUACGUGAACAUAUUAGAAAAUUGAUGACCAUUUUAUCCUUUUGAAAAUCUAGGUCACGAUGUUCUUUUUUUUGUUUUCCAUUUCCUACUAAGAUGACUCCGAUAGUAAGAAAAAGUAAAAAAGAAAAUAUAAAAAGAAAAAGAAAAAUAAUAAAAUAAAAUAAAAUAAGAAGAGAAAGAAAAGGGAGGAAGUGAACAGAACAAGAAAAUGAAGGUCUUGGAUUUGGGUUACCCUCCAUGCUUCUUUUUGUUGUUUUAAAUAAUGAAAAAAUGUGCGCAUUAAAGAAGGGAGAAAAAAAAUGGGCUGGUCACCGAGGAACAGUGCAAAAUGGCAUCAAUCCCGGUCAUAUGUCUACAAUCCUCGUUUGCCAAACGAUUUCAUGGUUUAAUUUAGACCAGGAUUGCAUAGUUGAUGGUGUAAUCGAUCGAAAUUUUGACUUGAGGGUUCAUUUCACCAAACCUCUACGAGUUCUGUGUCGAAAAUGGACUUUUUUCCUUGUUAAUUCAACCACAUGUGGACUCCUUUAUCUGUGGCAAAGUUUUAGUAGCACGACAAAAUAGUAAUAGAAACAAUAACACUAACAGUUUCUAGUGAUUGUAAGAGCAACAACAUGAAUAGUAAGUGAGCGAAGAUCAAUAUGCGAAAAGUAUGGGCAUUGCAUCAGUGAUGGAUAAGUAUAUAGGAUGACAUUCAUCGUGUAUCAAUUACACACUAGAGCGAUACAGAACUAGCCCUGAUUAAUCAAUGUAAUAUAGGCAUGUAUUCCGUAUAUAGUCAUACAUGCUUAUUAUAAGAACUUGCAUGCCAUCUUUUGUUCUACCCUCCCGUGGCAGCGGAGUUCAUAAGGAAAUCUAAGGGAUAUUAAGGUGUCCUUUUAAUAGACAACCGAAACAAAGCAUUAACACAUGGUGAAUACAUGAACUCCUCAAACUACAUUAAUAACCGAAAAGAAUCCCAACUAUUAUCACCUUGGGGUCUACGGAUCAUAACACAUAAUAGGUGCAUACAACUUGCAAGAUAGGAUCCAAAACACCCUCAUAUUUAUAAAACAUAAUAGAUUCAUAUCUUAAAUCAUGGCACCCGGGCUCUAGAGACAAGCAUUAAGCAUAGCAAAGCCGUAGCAACAUCAAUCUGAGAACAUAAUGGAUACUAAGGAUUAGACCCUAUCAAAAUAACUCGAUUACAUAAUAAGUCUCAUCCAAUCCCAUCAUCCUCCAGCAAGCCUACAAAGAAAUUACUCACUCUUGGUGGUGACAAUCAUGGGAUUGUUGAUGGAGAACGAUUAGUGAUGACGACGACGACAAAUCCCCUCUCCGGAGCUCAAAAUGGAUUCCAGAUCAACCCUCCCGAGGAAGAACAUGAGGUGACGGAGGCUCUAUCUCGUAUAACGCGAUGAAAACUUCUCUAUUAUUUUUUCUCUAGGGGAAUAGGAACUUAUAGGCUUGGAGUUAGGGUCAUCAGAGCCACGUGGGACCCACAAGGUAUUAGUGUGCGCCCAGGGGGUGGUCACACCCUAUUGCCUUGUGGGCAACUGGUAGCCUCCCUCCAGUGGAUCUAUGGUGUAGUAUUUUACAUAUUCCCCAAAAAUUCUCAAGAAAGUUUCGUGCAAUUCCGUGAACUUUUAUUUCUACACAAAAAAGAACAUCAUGAUAGUUGAGUUGAAAUCAGCGCCCGCCCAGGUUAGUUUCGUUCAAAUCGUGCUAAUUAGAGUUCAAAAGUAAAGAAAAUGUGUUUUAAAAAAUAGAUAUGUUUGGGGUGUAUCACUUAAAACCACAACAUACCAAACCACUAUGUCGAGGGAACGACUACGAUACAAUCUAGCCUUAUGUUGCAAAAAUAGAAAAAACAUGGCUGAGUCGUUGGGAUGGCCGAUGGAUGGCACAUAUUAUAAAUUCUUGGAAAAGGGGAAUAUAUUAGUAUCGUGAAGAUUCCAAUUAUACCUAGCUUCUGCACCUACAAGAUGUCGCCGAGACAUUCAUGAUGCACACAACCAAAGAUGAAAAUGAUAACAAAGGAAAAACAUAAAGGUCCUGUCAUAUAGAUCAACUCCUCUUAAUAACAACACUCAUACCACCACCAAGUACAACAUUCGAAAAACAUAACAGCUUUCCAAAAGCAAUGCCUUCAAUAAGUGAACAGUGCACAAGUGCCAUCGUUGCCCGAACAAAGAUCUUAGAUUUUCACCCUAGAGAAAGCCCACGCUCUCAAAACAAUUCCUCCACCAAGGUAAUCGUGAGGCACAACCAAUGAAGGCAGGACCUUUGGUUUUCACCCUGAAAGUCAUGACUCGGCAACUCGAGGAGUACCACUGAAGAUGAAAUCCUCCACUCUUGCCGCUCCACUAAUCACUACUCCUUUUGAGAGUCAUCUAACACCCGGUUGUCUCCAUCGCCACCAAGACUUUGCACGUGUAACUGAUCCUCCGAUCUUGGCCACCAUGACCUUCUCCACUGCUGUCUUCACCAUGAAAAUGAAGAAGCCGACAUGUCCCAAGGUGUCAUCGGUCAACAGAGCUUCGCGCCACUCCCUCAGAACCUCGUAGGAUGUAUGGACGUACACGACCGAAAUCUAACCGAUCCAGAUAUCCCGAGCAAAUUCUCCGGCGGCCAUUCCGGAACACGUCGAUGGCUAGAUUGAGGAGGACCGAUCAAGCAUGACAUUGUCGUGAUGUGAGAAAGAACGAGGACCACAAAUGGUACUAGAUGACGGAUCACGAGAUCCGCCAAGCCAGCCAUAAAUCGGCUGACGACCUCUGAUGGAGGAUGAGAUCACUGAUACGUCUCCAACCUAUGUACAAUUUUUGAUGGUUUCAUGCUAUCAUCUUGUCAAACUUUGGAUGUUUUGUAUGCCUUUUAUAUUUUUUUGGGACUAACUUAUUAACUCAGUGCCAAGUGCCAGUUCCAGUUUUUCCGUGUUUUUGACCCUUUUCAGAGGAGGAUUUUAAACGGAGUCGAAACGGAAUAAAACUUCCGAAAAUAUUUUUUCCGGAAUAGAAGAUACGCAGAAAGCUUGGGAACCAAGGCAGGGAGUCCCGGGGGAGGCCACAAGCCCCCAUGGCGCGGACAGGGGGGCCCACGCCUCCCAGGCUUGUGGGCUCCCUGGGCCUCCCCUGCCCUAGCUCCUUCGCCUAUAAAUUCCCUAAAAUCCCUAAAAAAAUCAGGGGAGCCACGAAAAUACUUUUCCGCCGCCGCAAGCUUCUGUCUCUGCAAGAUCCCAUGUGGGGCACGUUCUGGUGCCCUGCCGGAGGGGAGAUUCAGAUACAGAGGGCUUCUUCAUAAACACCAUGACCUCUCCGAUGAUGCGUGAGUAGUUCACCAUAGACCUACGGGUCCAUAGUGUAAUGCCCCAGAGUGUAACUUGCCAUAUUUGGAACCUUCAUGUAUGUGGGUCCAUCAUGUCAUUGAUAUGAGAGUUAUAUUUCAUGUGGUAUUUCAUGUGCAUGUCUUGUUUCCCUUUGCAGGCAUGCAUCCAUUCCAUUCAUGCCUUCUUGUGUUUGUUGUUGUUGUGGUUCCAUGGAUGUGAUAUGUGAUGAUGAUAUGUGAUGUGAUGAAGUGGUGCAUUUGAAAGUGGGGUGCAUCUAUGCUAGUUUUUCAACUAGGUUUCAAACCCCCCCUCUCUAUAUUUCUCAAGCUCAAGUUUUACUUGCUCUAUCCUGAUUCAAAAUGUAGAUCUUUUAGAGUGUUUUGUGGUGGAUGUGGUGCUAGGUUUAUUGUGAUUUUAAACUUUGUUUAAGUGGGGUAAAUAUUCACAAAACAGGUUAUUCAAAUUUUGUUUUGUAAAUAUUUAAAUGCUCCAAAAUUCCUCUUAUCAUUUUAUUUUAUUGGGUCAUAAUUCCCUUAUGACCAGGGGCAUUUUUGUUUUAUUUUAGGAUCAACAGUGUGGCCUUUGUGUUUUAUUUUAUCUCUGUUUUGUUUUCAAAUAGAAAAACCCCAGUAGGUUUUUCUUUUUCUUACCAAGCGCCUCUGAGCGGGCCUCCUCCCCUCGCUGGCCCAACUAAUCCCUCACGUAGCAGCCUUCUCUUGUAGACGUCGUCUCCCUCCUCCCUCCUUUCCGUCAGUUUCUUCAGAGACAGCGAGACAGAGAGGCGACGCCGUGCUCAUGGACGUCGAGGUGGCCUUCCUCGCCCCUCUAUUUAAUCCUUGGCGUCCGCGCAAUGCGCUAGGUUUCCUCCAAGCCGCCGCCACUCCUUUCCCUUCUUCCUCCUCCCUCUCCCUCGUCGACAACAGGUAAGCAAGCCCCUCCUCCGCCAUGGCCGAACCUUGAAGAGCUCGUCGCCGUCGUUGCCGUACCGCUGCUUCCUCUCCAAUCCUUCAGAGAGCACGCGGGACCUCAGGGGAGCCCGUUCCCACAGCCAAUCGUUGCCGAUCUACCCUACUUCCCCUACUUCGACGACGACCUUCUUCCGCUCCGACGACCACCUCCGCAUCGGCUACUUCCUCGACUUCCCCUGCUUCCCCUCCUACAGGCGUGUCUCCUCGACAAGUGGAUGAGCACAAGCUCUCCUCACCCUUCCCCGGUAGCAAGAUCGCGUGUAGGAUCCGUAGCAACGCCAACGUGCAUCUCUCUGUCGCCAACGCUGCCGUGUGUCGUGGAGCAGUAGCUAUAGGCCUUCUCUCGUCGAGCUUAGUGUAGAAAUGGAACCGUGGGAGGUCCUCCUCCCUUCCAGCAAUGAGCCGUGGGCCAAUUUGAAGCGUGUCGCCGACGGUGAGCCUCCCCUGUUCCGGCCACCAUCGGGUAGUAGUGGAUCCAGAGGGGGCUGCUCAAAAGAACCAAGCCCCCUCUCUGUUAAGUGUCGAUCUAGCAGCGCAGUGGCAGUGGGUGUUUUGGCAUAGCGCAUGUCGUGGGUUCGAGUCCCCACAACGCCCUUUUUGUAUUUUGUUUUCGGGCACAGUAGCAGCAGGGGAUAGCAUAUCCUGUAUACUCCCUCUGUUCUGUCGAGCCAAGUGUUGUAGCGCAGUGGUUUGUUGUUGUGUGUUUAACCAGCAGGUUUGGGGUUUGAUCCCCCAAGCGCCCUUUUAUUUUUUUGUCAUUUCCUUUUGCUGUUUCAUAUUGCUUGUUAGUUCUGUUGCUGUGGUAUGCUUGGGCAGCAUGUGUGGUGAUUUUUGCCUCACAACCAUUAGGUUUUACCUUGGUUUUAGUAAGUAUGUGUGUGUCUAGAGUGUUAGUGGUCCAUGUGUAUGUGAGUGUGUGUGGUGCAACUUACAAAUGGUGUUUGCUAGUGUAUGUGUGUAGGUGUAUAUAUGUGUGUGUGUGUGCUUGUGCAUAUGUGCACCAGUGUAGGUGCAUGAGGUAUGUGUGCUUGUGUGGUGCAAGCACCCAAGUGCUUGUGUUGAUGUAGAUGUAAUCAUGCAUGUGUGAGUGUGAGCUCACUAGCAUGCGGAGUUGUGUGUGCAUGUGUGUGUGUGACACCCACAUGCCCAAGGCAUGGUAUUGCCUUAGUGAGCUCUUAUGUUGCAAGCAUGUUUGUGUGUGUUAGUGAUAGUUGUGUGAGUGUAAGUAUGUGUGUGUUUUAGAAUAGCAUGUGUAGGUGCUAGUGAGUGCAUGCUUGUUUGUAUGUGAGAGUGUAUGGUGAUGUGCUAUGGCACACAUACAUGAGGUCUAAACCCUCAUGUCACCAUUGGGGUUGUGAGUGUGUACAAGUGCAUGUGUAGGUGAUGAUCUUCUGAGAAACACAUGUGAUAUGGCACUAUUUGCAUCCAUGUGAUUCCAUGUAGUUUUUCCUUUCAACUUUGUGCCUAGUUGUUCUAUGAAAGUACCUAGGUAUUAUAUAUGUUUUUGGGGUAGAAUCAUCCCAGGAAACCAUUGGUGAAAUCAGAUUUCACUUUGGAAUACUUUCUGGAAAGUCAUUUUUUUGUUUUGAACUAUGUUUAGAGCUUGGUGCCAUGUGAUGUGAUGAGCCCAAGAGGAUGAUUCCUUGAUGUGGCAGUAGUGGGUGAACCCCUCUAUAGCAUGGUGGUUUUGUUUCAUGCUUAGGAGUUUAUAUGUGCAAGUUGUGUCUUGUCAAAGUAGGCAUGUGGCUGAAAUUGUCAGUUAGUGAAAAUCUGUGAUUUUCACUAAGUCUGAGGAACUGCUGUUAUUUUCUUCCCUUGUAGUUGUGGUUGCAAAAGUUCAUGUGUUGGGAACCAGCCCUUGCGAUCAACUAGAGUGUUGGAGCUUUUGUGUUUGUCUAGCACUCUGUCAAUUUCCAUGCACUUUCACUUCCUGUAGAUAUUGUUUUGGGGGCUGUCAAAAUGCUUCAGAGCAUAAACAGCUGGUGAGAAUCUGAGAUUUUCACUAAGUCCCUGAAAUCUGUUAUUUUUGGCCAAGUUAGCACAUGUAUAACUUUUUGUGUGUAACUUCUUUGUAUUAUCUUUUUGUUCAUGCUUGUAGAGCUUUUGAAUAGCUUUUGCCACAUAUCCUGUUUGGCACAUUUGGGUGGCUAUAGGUGAUUUGCAUGUUGCUCUCAAACUGCUAUGUUGCUGUUUAGGACAAAUUGUAUAGUUUUGUUGUUUUGAAGCUUGUGAUAGUAUUGUUGGUGGUGUGGUGAGUUUAUUUGCACCACCCCACCUGUACUUGUUUGUUUGAUCAUGUGGCAACCUCGAAGUACCAGAAGUAUGCCAUUGGAGAGUGCUUGUGGUAGAUUUGACCCGUAGAACUCCAUAUGUUGUUUCGUAGUUUCCGGUUGAUCCGUAGCUCCGUUCUCAACGUUCUUUGUAUGUUUUUGCAUCAUUUUCACGUGAUGGACCUGUUCAUGUCAUCUUCAUGCAUGUAAAGAUAUCUUAGAGUGAAGUUCUGUCUAGAAGUUUGUAUUAUCUUCUCAUGCAUAAGCAAGUGACUAGAAUAGAGAUGCAUGCUACAUUCUCAUCUCAUGCAUCAUGUGUUUGUUGCAUCAUGUGGUGUUGUUGUUCAUUGGAUGCUAUUUUUAUGUUGGGUAGCACCGGGAUCGGAGAGCAAGUACGUGGAUUCGGGAGAGUACGUGCAGGACGAACAAGAGCAGUUCCAAGCUGAAGACAUCACACGCAAGAUGACCAUGACCUUGAUACCGUCUCUAGCUUUGUUAUGCCUAGAUUCACGUUUCCAUCGUCAUAUGCUCACUGCCUACCACCCGAUAUAUUUGCCUCCUGAAAUUGCCAUGAAACCCAAACACUUUCCCCUCCUAGCUAAUAUUGAAUGGCUAAGUAGGCUCGCUCACCUUCUAAUGUUAGUGUUGCUAGUUGCAGGUGCCAGUGUCUCAUGUGAUAACAUGAGUUUUGUUAUCAUUAUGUUCAAAUCUGUUACUUAAUUAAUGCACCUAUAUACUUGGUAAAUGAUGGAAGGCCUAGCUUUUGCCAAGUGAUUUGUUCCGUUAUUGCCGCCUUAGUUUCUGUCUACCGGCGUUUGAUUCCAUAACUGAACGCUCCUAACACAUUCGGGGUUGUUAUGGGGACCCCCUUGAUAAAUCGUGUAGUGUUAAGACUUGUCCGACAGGACCCAACAUUGGUUUUAAUUUGCUAAUCACUUAAUAAUAAUUUGCAUAGGGAAUAGCUACCCCGCGGAAUUAAUCAACAACCCGGGCCAGUGCUCCUCAUGAGUGUUGGUACAAACUAGAGCACCGUGGCGGGCCAUCCCGGGGCAACUCAGGAGAUUUCUCUCGCCACCAUACGCUUCGCUUAUUCGACGUGUCCUGAGACUAAGAUACCCGGCUCUUAUCGGGGUCGUCGACACGUCGGGAGGUCCUACUAGUCUUGUCUUACCUUAGCGAUUUAUAUUCCGUAUAGGAAUCCCGGUGAAGCUUUGGUUCUCCCGGGAGUUGAGGUUUUCCUCUAAGGAAUCUGACGAGAUCACGAGAUUCGUGAUAGAGGAUUACUUUGCGGCCUGUGACCGUUUGUGAUGGACUAGUUGGAGCACCCCUGCAGGGUUUAAUCUUUCGGAAAGCCGUGCCCGCAGUUAUGUGGCAACUUGGAAUAUUUGUUAACUUCCGGUUAUAGAUAACUUGAACUAAUUUUAAUAAAAUUGCCUACCGUGUGCGUAACCGUGACUGUCCCCUUCGAAGACCUCUCUUCGAUCGGGAAAACGGUGGGGUUAUGUUUGACGUAGGUAGGUGUUCACGAUCACUUAGUGAUCACCUAGUCUUCGACCGCUCGCGUAGACCACCACAUCAAUAACUUGUUCUACGUAAGUUAGCCACCAUAAAUGCUUAAGAUGCUGCAGCCUAAAUACUGAACCUUCCUCACCUAAUAACUUGACUAGUUUCAUUGCCGAUGUCAUGGAUUGCUGAGUCCCUGUGGCUCACAGAUUACUUCAACACCCCAACAGGUACAGGUACGCCCGACACAGGUGAUCCCGACGGCACGCAGCUGGCGUGGUAGUACGAUGAGGAGAACGACCGCCUGUACGUGAACUAUCCAGAAGACUGAGGCAUGGUCGUGAUCGUGGGCAAGCAUGCGGGAUAGCAUAGCCUUUUCUGAUGUUAUGUAGUCCGUAGCGGAACUACCUUGUCUGAAUAAAUGUGUGGAUGUAACUCUGAUAUUAUCUAUGGAGAUGGCAAACGAUUCCCUAUUUGUCAUUCUUAAAUUAUCUAUGAGCUAUGUUUAUCUUGCUUGCAAAACGCUUAGAUGCGCUUCUUUCCAUUUUGGGGCCUAGUUCCCUAAAUCACAAAAGACCGCGUCUUAGUCGUUACACAUAGCUACUAGCUAGAUGGCUUCUUCUCUCUCUUGUAUCUUCAGUACAAAGUUCUCCAUGAUCUUCAUGGAGAUCUAUCCAAUGUAAUCUUCUUUUGCGGUGUGUUUGUCGAGAUCCGAUGAAUUGUGGAUUUAUGAUCAGAUUAUCUAUGAAUCUUCUUUGACUUUCUUUUGAUCUCUCUUACGCAUGAUUUCAUAUCCUUGUAAUUCUCUAAGAGUUGUGGGUUUUGUUUGGCCAACUUGAUCUAUGAUUCUUGCAAUGGGAGAAGUGCUUGGUUUUGGGUUCAUACCGUGCGGUGACCUCACCCAGUGACAGAAGGGGUAGCGAGGCACGCAUCAUGUUGUUGCGAUCAAGGGUAAAAAGAUGGGGUUUUCAUCAUUGGUUUGAGUUUAUCCCUCUACAUCAUGUCAUCUUUCUUAAAGCGUUACUCUGUUCGUCAUGAAAUCAAUACACUAGAUGCAUGCGUGAUAGCGGUCGAUGUGUGGAGUAAUAGUAGUAGAUGCAGAAAGUAUCGGUCUACUUGUCUCGGGACGUGAUGCCUAUAUGUAUGAUCAUUGCCUUAGAUAUCGUCAUGACGUUGCGCGGUUCUAUAAAUUGCUCGACAGUAAUUUUUUCACCCACCGUAAUAUUUGCUAUUUUGAGAGAAUCCUCUAGUGAGCACUAUGGCCCCCGGGUCUACUUCACACCAAAUUUUCAGCCUUACUCUUUUACUUUGUUGCACUUUCCGCCUUCAGAUCUCACUUUGCAAUCAAUCUUGAAGGGAUUGACAACCCCUUUAUAGCGUUGGGUGCAAGCUCUUUUGUGUUUGUGCAGGUACUCUCGACUUGACGAGAUUCUCGUACUGGAUUGAUACCUUGGUUCUCAAACUGAGGGAAAUACUUACUGCUCCUGUGCUGCAUCACCCUUUCCUCUUCAAGGGAAAAACCAACGCAAGCCAAGUCUCCGUCAACGUGCCAAUUUCUAGCGCUGUUGUUUGAGAAGUAGCAGAAGGAUUUCUGGCGCCGUUGCCGGGGAGGAUCAAGUCAAGAACUCAUCCAAGUAAGUGUCGCAAACUCAUCUCUUGAAUUUUCUUUUUUGCCUCUCGUUUUCCUCUCCCCCACUUCUGAAAAACAAAAAUUUACAAAAAUAUUUUCCUUUUCGUUCGCUCUUUUCUCUCGCUUGCUUUCUGUCCACCUGUCUGCCUGCUAAGACCUGUAUGGCCCAUCCAAAGGAUUUUGACGCUUAUUAUGCGAGGUUGGAAGAGAUUGAAACUAGUGUUAAAGGCUUCAUGUCUACACAGUUUGAUUACAACAGUCACUUCCGUAGGGAACUAAAGGAGCAAAAUUAUUUUUUGGAUUUUAUGAAUAAAGAAGUUGAUGAUAUGGCCAAAGAAUUCCUUGCGCUAAAUUCUCAGAUUGCUCGUCUUGAAAAAUUGGUAGGCCAGAUUUCUGAUAAACAGGCUACUUUAGUCAAUAAAAUGGUUGCUAAACCUGAAAUUUGGUGCUUGGUGUUAAUAGAAUCACGAAGAUCUUUAAGUGCUUGGUGUGACUCCCAUUGAAUCUUUGUUUUCUUGUGUUAAACCUAAUGAUGAUGGGGCUGGAUAUGAAUCCACUUUGGUUGAAAAACGCCCCAAUGAUUUGUAGUCCAUCUAUCUCGAUGCUAAAAGCAUUCAAAGUGGAGUAGAAGAUAUUAAAACUUUGAGUAGUAAUGAAAUUACUACUUUGGAUCUCAAGGAAUUCAAUUAUGAUAGUUUCUCCUUGAUUGAAUGCAUUUCCUUGAUGUAAUCCAUGCUAACCUUUCCACACGCUUAUAGCCAAAACAAGGCCUUUACCGAUCAUAUCGUCGAAGCUAUGAUAAAAUCUCUUGAAGAGAAACUUGAAUUGGAAGUAUCUAUCCCUAGAAAGCUUCAUGAUGCAUGGGAACCUACUAUCAAAAUCAAAAUCAAAAACUAUGAAUGCAAUGCAUUGUGUGAUUUGGGUGCUAGUGUUUCCGCGAUUCCAAAGUCUUUAUGUGAUGUUCUCGGUUUUAAUGAGAUUGAGAAGUGUUCUCUUAAUUUGCAUCUUGCGGAUUCUACUGUCAAGAAACCCAUGGGAAGGAUCAAUGAUGUUCUUAUUAUUGCAAAUAGGAACUAUGUACCCAUGGAUUUCAUUGUGCUCGACAUUGAUUGCAAUCCUACAUGCCCUAUCAUUCUUGGUAGACCUUUCCUAAGGACUAUCGGUGCUAUGAUCGAUAUGAAGGGAGGGAAUAUUAUUUUUCAAUUUCCUUUAAAGAAGGGCAUGGAGCAUUUUCCUAGAAAGAAAAUAAGAUUGCCUUAUGAAUCCAUGAUGAGGGCUACUUAUGGUUUGAGCACAAAAGACGAUGUACGUGAUUCUAUCGCCUUAUGCCUAGCUAAGGGCGUUAAACAAUAGCGCUUGUUGGGAGGCAACCCAAUGAAUUUAUCUUUUUCUUUCUGUUUUGUUGCGUCCACACCAUCAUAAUUCUGUUAUGAUAUUGUCUUUUGUUUUUCUUUUUGUGUUUGAGCCUAGCAAAACCUUUAUGACUAGUCUUGGUGAUGGUUGUUUGAUCCUGCUGGAAAAAGACAAAAACUUUUCACUCACGAGAUUAAUUUUCAUUUUUACGCAGAAAGAGUUUUUGAGUUGAUUCUUUUUGCUGUUGGUUGAUAUGACUUUUUCCCAGGCAGUCGUAAGUUUUCAGAAGUUUGAGGUACCAGAAGUAUAUGAAGUAUAUAGAUUGCUACAGACUGGUCUAUUUUUGACAAAUUCUGUUUUUGUUGAGUUGGUUGCUUGUUUUGAUGAAAGUAUGGACAGUAUCGGGAGGUACUAGCCAUGGAAAAGUGAGGAUACAGUAAUAUAACACCAAUAUAAAUAGAAAUCAAGAUUGCUACAGUACCUAAGGAGGUGGUAGUUUGUUUUCUUGUGCUAAUGAUAUCACGAGUCUCUGUUUUAGUUUUGUGUUGUGAAGUUUUCAAGUUUUGGGUGAUGUUCUCAUGGAUAAAGGGAUAAAGAGUGGAAAGAGCUCAAGCUUCUGGAUGUCCAAGACAUCCCAAGCCAAAUUCAAGGACACCAAAAAGCCUAAGCUUGGGGAUGCCCCGGGAAGUCAUCCCCUCUUUCUUCUUCAAUCCAUCGGUAACAUUACUUGGAGCUAUAUUUUUAUUCACCACAUGAUAUGUGUUUUGCUUGGAGCGUCUUGUAUUGUAGGAGUCUUUUCUUUUUGUUGUGUCACAAUCAUCCUUGCUGCACACCUUUUUAGAGAGACAUGCACUCAUCGUGAAUUUGCUAGAAUGCUCAUUGUGCUUCACUUAUAUCUUUUGAGCCUAGAUAAUUUUGCUCUAUGUUCUUCACUUAGAUCUUUUAGAGCACGGCGGUGCGUGACUUGGUAGUUGAUUUGUGCUAUAAAAGUAGUCCCAAAGGUGAUAGGUACCCAAAGAGGAUACAAAAACCUCCAUCUUCAUGUGCAUUGAGUAGAAAGAGAAGUUUUGAUUCCUCUCAAUUAGUUUUGAGAUGUGGAUUUGGUAAUAUUAAAGAGUUAUGUUAGUAGGGUGUUGUGAAUUUAGAAAUACUUGUGUUGAAAUUAGUGAUUCCCGUAACAUGCACGUAUGGUGAACCGCUAUGUUAGGAAGUCAGAGCAUAACUGAUCUAUUGAUUGUUAUCCUUUGUGCUGCGGUCGGGAUCGCGCGAUGGUUAACACCUACCAACCCUUCCCAUAGGAGUAUGCGUUUAGCACUUUGUUUCAAUUACUAAUAAAAACUUUCGCAAUAAGUAUGUGACUUCUUGAUGACUAAUGUGAGUCCAUGGUAUAGAUGCCCUUUCACCUUCCACCGUUGCUAGCCUCUCUAGUACCGCGCAAUUUUCGCCGGUGCACGAACCCACCAUAUGCCUUCCUCAAAAUAGCCACCAUACCUACCUACUAUGGCAUUUUUAUAGCCAUUCCAAGAUAUAUUGCCAUGCAACUCCCACCAUUCCGUCUCAUGACUUGUGCCGUCACUCUCAUAUUUCCAUUGCAUGAUCGUAAGAUAGCUAGCGAGAUGUUUCAAUGUCAUACGACAAGCUAGAUCGUUGCACAUCCCGGUACACCGCCGGAGGCAUUUCCUAUAGAGUCAUCAUCGUUCUGAGCUUUGAGCUCUGAGUAAAUAAAAGUGUGAUGAUCAUCAUUAUUUGAGUAUUCUCCCAUGUGAGGAAAUAAUAAAAAAGAGGCCAAAGUUGCCCACAUAAAAAGGCCAAAGAUCCCAAAUAAAAAAAAGAGGCCAAAGUUGCCCACAUAAAAAAAGAGGCCAAAGAGCCCAAAUAAAAAAGAGAGAAAAAGAGAGAAGGGACAAUGGUACUAUCUUUUUCCACACUUGUGCUUUAUAAUAGCACCAUGUUCUUCAUGAUUGAGAGCCUCUUGUUUUGUCACCACCAUAUACUAGUGAGAAUCUUUAUUUUACCACUUGGCUGGUAUAUUCCAAUGAUGGGCUUCCUUAAAAUUGCCCUAGGUCUUCGUGAGCAAGCAAGUUGUAUGCACGCCCACUAGUUCUCCUUUUGAGCUUUCACAUACUUAUAGCUCUCGUGCAUCCUUUGUGUGGCAAUCCCUAAUCAUUCACAUUGAUAUCUAUUAAUGGGCGUCUCCAUAACCCUUUGAUACACCGAGUCAAUGUGACCCUCUCCUCUUUUUUUGUCUCACAACCACCACCACACUCUAUUCCACCUAUAGUGCUAUAUCCAUGGCUCACGCUCAUGUAUUGCGUGAUAGUAGAAAAAGAUUUGAGAAAGGAAGAGUGCAAAAACAACUACUUGGCCAAUACCGGGGUUGUGCAUGAUUAAAUUAGUUGUGUGGGGAUGAUGGAGCAUAGCCAGACUAUAUGAUUUUGUAGGGAUGUUAUUUCGAAAGUUCAUGAUUACCUUGCUAGUUUGCUUGAAGUAUUAUUGUUUUCAUGUCAAUAGCAAACUAUUGUUUUGAAUCUUACGGAUCUGAACAUUCAUGUCACAUGAAAGAAGUUACAAAGUACAAUUAUGUUAGGUAGCAUUCCACAUGAAAAAUUCAGUCUUUAUCACUUCCCUAAUCGAGGACGAGCAGGAGUUAAGCUUGGGGAUGCUUGAUACGUCUCCAACGUAUCUAUAAUUUUUGAUGGUUUCAUGCUAUUAUCUUGUCAAACUUUGGAUGUUUUUUAUGCCUUUUACAUCUUUUUUGGGACUAACUUAUUAACUCAGUGCCAAGUGCGAGUUCCUGUUUUUUCCGUGUUUUUGACCCUUUUCAGAGGAGGAUUUUAAACGGAGUCCAAACGGAAUAAAACUUCUGAAUUUUUUUUUCCGGAACAGAAGAUACGCAUAAAGCUUGGGAACCAAGGCAGGGAGUCCCGAGGGAGGCCACAAGCCCCCAUGGCGCGGCCAAGGGGGCCCGCGCCUCCCAGGCUUGUGGGCUCCCUGGGCCGCCCCUGCCCUAGCUCCUUCGCCUAUAAAUUCCCUAAAAUCCCUAAAAAUCAGGGGAGCCACGAAAAUACUUUUCCGCCGCCGCAAGCUUCUGCCUCUGCAAGAUCCCAUCUGGGGCACGUUCUGGUGCCCUGCCGGAGGGGAGAUUCGGAUACGGAGGGCUUCUUCAUCAACACCAUGACCUCUCCGAUGAUGCGUGAGUAGUUCACCAUAGACCUACGGGUCCAUAGCUAGUAGCUAGAUGGCUUCUUCUCUCUCUUGGAUCUUCAAUACAAAGUUCUCCAUGAUCUUCAUGGAGAUCUAUCCGAUGUAACCUUCUUUUGCGGUGUGUUUGUCGAGAUCCGAUGAAUUGUGGAUUUAUGAUCAUAUAUCUUAUUUGAGUUUCUUCUGAUCUCUCUUAUGCAUGAUUUCAUAUCCUUGUAAUUAUCUUCGAGUUGUGGGUUUUGUUUGGCCAACUUGAUCUAUGAUUCUUGCAAUGGGAGAAGUGCUUGGUUUUGGGUUUAUACGGUGCGGUGACCUCACCCAGUGACAGAAGGGGUAGCGAGGCACGCAUCAUGUCGUUGCCAUCAAGGGUAAAAACAUGGUGUUUUCAUCAUUCGUUUGAGUUUAUCCCUCUACAUCAUGUCAUCUUGCUUAAAGCGUUACACUUUUCGUUUUGAACUCAAUACCCUAGAUGCAUGCUGGAUAGCGGUCGAUGUGUGGAGUAAUAGUAGUAGAUGCCAAAAGUAUCGGUCUACUUGUCUCGGACGUGAUGCCUAUAUGUAUGAUCAUUGCCUUAGAUAUCGUCAUGACUUUGCGCGGUUCUAUCAAUUGCUCGACAGUAAUUUGUUGACCCAUCGUUAUAUUUAAUAUUUUUAGAGAAGCCUCUAGUGAACACUAUGGCCCCCGGGUCUACUUCACACCAUAUUUUCAGCCUUACUCUUUUACUUCGUUGCAGUUUCCGCCUUCAGAUCUCACUUUGCAAUCAAUCUUGAAGGGAUUGACAACCCCUUUAUAGCGUUGGGUGCACGCUAUUUUGUGUUUGCGCAGGUAGUCUGUACUUGACAAGAUUAUCCUACUGGAUUGAUACCUUGGUUCUCAAACUGAGGGAAAUACUUACUGCUCCUGUGGUGCAUCACCCUUUCCUCUUCAAGGGAAAAACCAACGCAAGCCAAGUCUGCGUCAACGUGCCAGUUUCUGGCGCUGUUGUUUGAGAAGUAGCAAUCACCACCGCCAUAAUCCUCGUGAUGCGUGGCAGAACCAGAGAACCUCCAUGAACCGUCGCUGUGACCGAUGGAGAAAGCGGUUUGAAGUGUGAUGAAAGCAGACUACCUUUGUCAGGUUCUGAAGAUAGAGCAUCAUCAGUAUUGAAGAUCGAGUCCACACCGCAGCCUCCUACCUUACCCACCGACUGCAACAGGCCUACCGACGUGCCCCAACCACUAUUGCCCACCAUCACUACCACAAGGGACCAAGAUCAGGCCGCCACCACCUCAGAUUCCGCACAUAUUAUUAUGAAGGAUGGCAAGCCACUUAAGUGUAGACUUUAUGAAAAAACUACUAGCAGUUCGAUAUAAAACAAAACUUUUGUAGUAACAACCUCACAUAUUUCAUAUUUCUCUAUAAUUGUUUUGUAUGGUCAUGAUGCCACAUAUCCUAUUGGUUUAACAAAAUCUUUGCACAUAUCUAUUUCAAGAAAUACAUGUAUAUUUGAUGAAAAAGAAAUACAGUAUAUUUCAGUAUAUCAUCACUAGUUAUGCAAGAAAACUGAAGAUGUUUGUCACAAAAAAGUAGGAAAGUAUUUAUCACAAAUAUGCCAAGUACAUAGAGAAAAUUAAACCACACCCUUCAAGAAAAACUAAACAUUUCAAAUAGGGCGAUUAUAGAUGGAACACAACACAAGAGGCAUACAUACAUAUCAAGUGAUACAUGGGAGAAUCAUUUUUAGUACAUGUGUGUUUGUUUGGUAAGAGAGUCCUAAGGACUAAUACGAUCACCGCUCAACAACCAUUGCUAUUAGAAAAUGCAUCCAGAACUGUACGGAAGGGAAGUCUGGACUAUCUUCAUGGUACAUGACAUGAGAGCUCUGUUCUUUCCUCCAGUUCGAAUUUCAGUUGAGCACAAGCACACGUAGGUGUAACAACAACAUCUUGAUCAAUAAUCUUAGACAUGAACAGUGGAGACCAGUGCAUAUAUGUCGCUCUUCCAUGAUUUACUAAACUCAUUCAAGAACACAUAUAUAUGUUGGGGAAUGUUGCAUGGGAAACAAAAAAUUCCCUACGCACACGAAGACCUAUCAUGGUGAUGUCCAUCUACGAGAGGAGAUUUGGAUCUACGUACCCUUGUAGAUCGCACAGCAAGAAGCGUUAAGAAAUGCGGUUGAUGUAGUGGAACAUCCUCACGUCCCUCGAUCCGCCCCACGAACCGUCCUGCGAUCCAUCCGACGAUCCGUUCCGAUCUAGCGCCGAACGGACGGUACCUCCGUGUUCAGCACACGUAUAGCUCGACGACGUUCGGCCUUCUUGAUCCAGCAAGCAAGAAGGAGAAGUAGAUAAGUUAUCCGGAAGCGUGACGACGCUCCGGUGGUGGUGACGAUCUAAUCAUGCAGGGCUCCGCCCGAGCUCCGCCGAAAUCCAAUCUAGAGGUAAAACUAUGGUGUCUAGAUCUGAUUUGCACGUGGAAAAAGUUGUCUCAAAUCAGCCCAAAAUCACCAAUAUAUAUAGGAGGGAGGGGGAGGAGGCUUUCCUAGAGGGACAAGCCCUCAAGGGUGCGCCGGCCAGGAGGAUAGGAGGAUUCCUACUCCAAUUAGGAUUGGAAAGUGGAGUACUUCUCUUCCUUCCCACCUCCCCUUUUUUCUCUUUGGUUUUUCUUUUAUUGGCGCCAAGGCCUUCUUGGGCUGUCCCAGCAGCCCACUAAGGGCUGGUGCACCACCCUAACGCCAUUGGGCUCCCUCCGGGUGGGUUUCCGCCCUCCCGAUGAACUUCCGGAACCCAUUCGUCACUCCGAGUACAAUGCAGGUAAUGCCCGAAAACCUUCCGGUAACCAAAUGAAACCAACAUAUAUAUCAAUCUUAGUUUCCGGAACAUUCCAGAAACCCUCGUAACGUCCAUGAUCUCGUCCGGGACUCCGGACAACAUUCGGUAACCACACAUAUAACUCAACUAUACUAAAACAUCGCCGAACCUUAAGUGUACAGACCCUGCGGGUUCGAGAACUAUGUAGACAUGCCCCGAGGCACUCCUCGGUCAAUAUCCAAUAGCGGGUCCUGGAUGCCCAUAUUGGAUCCUACAUAUUCUCCAAAGAUUUUAUCGGUUGAACCUUAGUGUCAAGGAUUCAUAUAAUCCCGUAUGUCAUUCCCUUUGGCCUUUGGUAUGUUACUUGCCCGACUUUGCCAGCCUUCUUAUCUACCAUGUAUCUAGGGUAGCUCUACCUCAGUGAUCGUUCCCCUCAUAACAGAAGCACUUAGUCUCGGGUUUGUGUUUAAUCUUGGGUUUUUUCAUUAGAGCAGCAACUGGUUUGUCGUUUCAUGAAGUGUCCCUUCUAGCCCUUGCCCUUCUUGAAACUAGUGGUUUUACUAACCAUCAACAAUUGAUGCUCCUUCUUGAUUUCUACUUUCGCAGUGUCAAACAUUGCGAAUCACUCAAGGACCAUCACAUCUAUCCUUGAUAUGUUAUAGUUCAUCAUGGAGCUCUAGCAGCUUAGUGAUAGUGACUUUGGAGAACCAUCACUAUCUCAUCUGGAAGAUUAACUCCCACUUGAUUCAAGCGAUUGUUGUACUCAGACAAUCUCAGAACAUGCUCAACGAUCUGAGCUUUUCUCCUUUACUUUAUAGGCAAAGAAUAUUGUAGGAGGUGUCAUACCUCUUAACAAGGGCACGAGCAUGAAAUCUCAAUUUCAUCCCUUAGAACAUCUCAUAUAUUCCGCGACAUUUCAAAAGUCUUCGGCGCCUUGCUUCUAAGCUAUUAAGUAUUACUCACUGAACUAUCACGUAGUCAUCAAAAACAUGUAUGUCAGAUGUUCACAACAUCCAUAAACGACGCUCGAGGUGCAGCACACCGAGUGGUGCAUUAAGGAGAUAAACCUUCUACGUAGCAAUGAGGACAAUCCUCAGUUUUACAGACUCAGUCCGUAAAGUUGCUACUAUCAUCUUUCAACUAAAUUUUCCCUAGGAACAUAUAAAAAUAGUAGAGCUAUAGCCGAAGCUACAUCAUAAUUCACAAAGACCUUUUGACUAUGUUCAUGAUAAUUCAUUCAAUUAAUCAUAUUACUUAAGAACCCCCACUCAAAAAGUACAUCUCUCUAGUCAUUUGAGUGGUACAUGAUCCAAAUCCACUAACUCAAGUCCGAUCAUCACGUGAGUUGAGAAUAGUUUCAGUGGUAAGCAUCUCUAUGCUAAUCAUAUCAACUAUACGAUUCAUGCUUGACCUUUCUGUCUCAUGUGUUCCGAGGCCAUGUCUGUACAUGCUAGGCUCGUCAAGCUUAACCCGAGUGUUCCGCGUGUGCAACUGUUUUGCACCCGUUGUAUGUGAACGUUGAGUCUAUCACACCCGAUCAUCACGUGGUGGUCUCGAAAUGAUGAACUGUCGCUACGGUGCACAGUCGGGGAGAACACAAUUUCGUCUUGAAAUUUUAGUGAGAGAUCACCUCAUAAUGCUACUGUCGUUCUAAGCAAAAUAAGGCGCAUAAAAGGAUUAACAUCACAUGCAAUUCAUAAGUGACAUGAUAUGGCCAUCAUCAAGUGCUUCUUGAUCUCCAUCACCAAAGCACCGGCAUGAUCUUCUUGUCACCAGCGCCACACCAUGAUCUCCAUCAUCAUGAUCUCCAUCAUCGUGCCGCCAUAGAGGUUGUCGUGCUAUCUAUGCUAUUACUACUAAAGCUAUGACCUAGCAAUGUAGUAAACACAUCUGCAAACACAAACGUUAGUUUAAAGACAACCCUAUGGCUCCUGCCGGUUGCCGUAGCAUCGACGUGCAAGUCGAUAUUAACUAUUACAACAUGAUCAUCUCAUGCAUCCAAUAUAUCACAUCACAUCAUUGGCCAUAUCAUAUCACAAGCAUAACCUGCAAAAACAAGUCAGACAUCCUCUAAUUUGUUGUUGCAUGUUUUACGUGGCUGCUUUGGGUAUCUAGUAUGAUCACAUCUUAAUUACGCAAAAACCACAAUGGAAAUAUGCAAAUUGCUAUUUAACCUCUCCAAGGACUGCCUCGGUCAAAACCAAUUCAACUAAAGUUGAAGAAACCAACACCCGCCAGUCAUCUUUAUGCAACGAGGUUGCAUGUCAAUAAAUGAAACCAGUCUUUCGUAAGCGUACGAAUAAUGUCGGUCCGGGCCGCUUCAAUCCAACAAUACCGCUGAAUCAAGAAAAGACUAAGGAGGGAAGCAAAUCGAACAUCACCGUCCACAAAACCCUUUUUGUUCUACUCGAGAUAACAUCUAUGCAUGAACCUAGCUCAUGAUGCCACUGUUGGGGAAAGUUGCAUGGGAAACAAAAAAUUUCCUACGCACACGAAGACCUAUCAUGGUGAUGUCCAUCUAUGAGAGGAGAUUUGGAUCUACGUACCCUUGUAGAUCGCAUAAUAGGAAGCGUUAAGAAACGCGGUUGAUGUAGUGGAACGUCCUCACGUCCCUCAAUCCGCCCCACGAAACGUCCCACGAACUGUCCUGCGAUCCGUUCCGAUCGAGCGCCGAACGGACGACACCUUCGCGUUCAGCACACGUACAGCUCGACGAUGAUCUCGACCUUCUUGAUCCAGCAAGCAAGACGGAGAAGUAGAUGAGUUCUUCGGCAGCGUGACGGCACUCCGGUGGUGGUGACGAUCUACUCAUGCACGGCUCCGCCCGAGCUCCGCAGAAAUCCGAUCUAGAGGUAAAACUAUGGUGUCUAGAUCUGAGUUGCACGUGGCAAAAUUUGUCUCAAAUCAGCCCUAAAUCACCACUAUAUAUAGGAGGGAGGGGGAUGAGGCUUUCCUAGAGGGCCAAGCCCUCAAGGGUGAGCCUGCCAGAGGAGAGGAGGAUUCCUAUUCCAAUUAGGAUAGGAAAGUGGAGUCCUUCUCUUCCUUCCCACCUCCCCUUUUCUUCUCUUUGGUUUUUCUUUUCUUGGCGCCAAGGCCUAUUUGGGCUGUCCCACCAGCCCACUAAGGGCUGGUGCGCCACCCUAAAGCCAUUGGGCUCCCUCCGGGUGGGUUACCCCCUCCCGAUGAACUUCCAGAACCCAUUCGUCACUCCUGGUACAAUGCCGGUAAUGCCCGAAAACCUUCCGGUAACCAAAUGAAACCAUCCUAUAUAUCAAUCUUCAUUUCCGGACCAUUCCGGAAACCCUCGUGAUGUCCGUGAUCUCAUACGGUACUCCGAACAACAUUCGGUAACCACACAUAUAACUCAAUUACACUAAAACAUCGCCAAACCUUAAGUGUGCAGACCCUGCGGGUUCGAGAACUAUGUAGACAUGCCCCGAGGCACUCCUCGGUCAAUAUCCAAUAGUGGGACCUGGAUGCCCAUAUUGGAUCCUACAUAUUGUCCGAAGAUUUUAUCGGUUGAACAUCAGUGUCAAGGAUUCAUACAAUCCCGUAUGUCAUUCCCUUUGUCCUUCGGUAUGUUAUUUGCCCGAUACUCAAUCGUCGGUAUCCGCAUAGCUAUUUUAAUGUCGUUACCGGCAAGUCUCUUUACUCGUUUUGUAAUACAAGAUCCCGUGACUUACACUUAGUCACAUUGCUUGCAAGGCUUGUGUGUGAUGUUGUAUUACCGAGUGGGCCCCGAGAUACCUCUUCGUCACACGGAGUGACAAAUCCCAGUCUUGAUCCAUACUAACUCAACGGACACCUUCGGAGAUACCUGUAGAACACCUUUAUAGUCACCCAGUUACGUUGUGACGUUUUAUGCACACAAGGUAUUCCUUCGGUGCCAAUGAGUUAUAUGAUCUCAUGGUCAUAGGAACAAAUACUUGACACGCGGAAAACAAUAGUAAUAAAACGACACGAUCAAUAUGCUACGUUCAUAGUUUGGGUCUUGUCCAUCACAUGAUUCUCCUAAUGAUGUGACCCCGUUAUCAAGUGACAACACUUGUCUAUGGUUAGGAAACCUUGACCAUCUUGGAUCAACGAGCUAGUCAACCAGAGGCUUACUAGGUACAACGUUUUGUCUAUGUAUCCACACAUGUAUUUGAGUUUCCGAUCAAUACAAUUAUAGCAUGGAUAAUAAACGAUUAUCACAAACAAAGAAAUAUAAUAAUAGCUAAUUUAUUAUUUCCUCUAGGGCAUAUUUCCAACAAUAUAAACGGUCUAUUCAUGACCUUAAUCGCAUAUUUGCAGAGAGUAUGCUUAGAGAAACUAUAAUUACUUUUCAUAUUUACAACAAAUGACAAAGAGUUGUCUAAGUACACUGUUGGGAUUCAGACAUAAACAUUUUAACGUAAAUGCUAUAAUUAAAUGGGAGAUUAUUAAUUAAUUUUGAUGUUAAUCUGAAUCUAUUGAAUCAAGAUGUGAUUGGUUAAUUAGGUGAAAGAGAUGCAUAUAUUUCUGCGACACAAUGCAAAAGCACAACUAAAGUUCUAGAGACAUACCACAUCAGAGAAGGAUUCUAACUCCUUAUUUGUACGAUGCUUCAGAUUGUAGAACCAAUAAAUUGGAAGAGGUUACUUCAAAUUGAGGAAAGCGCAGUCUCAUAGAAGUUGUAGCAACAACAAAAUGUAGUUCUCCCAACAAUUGUUAACAUGUUUCACAUAUACUUUGAAGCUGCUCUGGCCGCUGCCACAUUUCUUGAACAAAUGCCACACAAGAAAACCAUGCUAGCAGAGCAGAGAAGUGAAACACGUGACUAAUAAAUGCACGAAGACGAUGCCAACCUCGCGCGUUAGUAUGUUCCGCACAUGAUAAAUCUGUAGGAAUAUAAUGUCACUUUCUUCAAAAAAAAUUAGUAAGACCAAAAGAACUAAUACAAUUGUUUCACUUGAAAAUAAUACUGAUAUUUUAGUUUGAGUAGAAGUAUUGAAAAAAUAGAUAGGAGCUUUGAAAAAUCAUUUGAGUGACACAUAUUGCAAGUGUUACUAAAUUUUAACAUUAUGCCAACAAGCACUUUUUGUUCAGGUAAUUGAACAGGUACAUGAAACUACUUUGUACUCAUGUAUCAGGAAAAUUGGAAGUUGAUACAAGUAGGAAAAAUGAGAAAUGUUAUGAGAUGGCAGCAGAAAAGAAGCGUGAGGAUUCAUAGGUGGCAUUUUUCUACGAUCUCCAUUCAAGACAUUAAAAAACAUGCAAAGCCAACCACAAAUAAUAUUUGUUGAUAGUGAGACACUAGUACCCAUGAUUCAGGAGAGCACGCAUAUCCUAGAAUAGUGCAAUUAGGAUGUAAUGGUUGGCAAUAUCAACCAAUUACAUUUUUUACGAUACCUAAUUGCUCGAAAAUCUAAUGUAAGAAAGCUAUAACAAGUUUUUCAUUGGUUAAUUCUCCUAUGCAUGGACAUAGAAAUAUCCGACAUUUUACCCCAAAAUAUAACUGACUGGAGUUUUCUUCUCUAGCCUCGACGGAUAACCGAGCUAGGGGGGAGCGAUACCAAAGCGCAACACAUGGUGAGGUCCAUUCAGACCAGCCAGACCGCCACUGACGGGACAGCCAAGAUCCAUCGAAGAGUAGAUGGAAGGACACCUACACAGGGUGUGCUCGUCUAUCUAGGUACCAGAUCUGUACUGCCAUCACCCUCGGCGAGGUAGAGGGAUAUGGACGAGAGGGGUAGGUCCAGGAGGAGCUGCUACGCCAUUAGAGCAAGUACAAUAGAGCCGAAUUAGCGGCCGAUAGGAAAUAAAUUAAUGCAUUCUUGCUUAGUUGAAGGAAAUAGAAGAGGAGAGAGAAGGUAAGCACACUCUUAAUUAAGAGCCAGAUCUACCACGUGCUCCUAGGCACUUUUUGAGAGUGAAAGAUGAGUCAUAUAAUAAAAAUGUAGUACACUUUUCUAAUCAACUAUUGUACAUGUUCUCUAUAAGAUAGGAUAUAGAUGACAUGGUAUGGCUUAUAGCCAACAACUGGCUAUACUAUUAACUAUGCUCUUUGGGUCGGAGAGUUUAGGCCUGCGCUACUAUCGGCUGUAGAGGGGAUCGUGUUUGGAGGCGAAGGAUAUCGAAAGCAAAUUAACCUGAAUCGAGGGCCCCAUUUGCUAACUCUACGCAUAGAUUGCUCCAUCAUAAUUUGUACUACCAUCUAUCUUCAAUCUGAGGGGACAUAGUGCUUUUUUCUAUUUUUGCACCGUAUGCUCAACUUUUAUCCUUCCUAGUCGCUCCCCUCUGUAGGCGGUGGUAUUUGGUUGUUCGAUUGGCAGCAUGCCGUUUGCAUACCUUGGACUGCCCAUGGGCAUCAGGGCCGGUCCAUAUAUAUUCACGGCCGUGGGGUGAGACAAUAAAAUGAGGCCCUUGUGGACAAAUAAAAACUAAGAAUAUAUUGUAUUUCGAAAGCAAUUCACUAGAUAACAUAGAUUGAUGGUUCAGAGAACUACAUGAUAAUAAUAGUAUGGAAACAAUAUAGUUCUACGAGUGCUCUUCUAAGUUGCACAAAGAGACUAUCACCCCGCUCUUCUAAGUAUGAAAACCUUGUCAAAACUGAUAGCAACUUGAACCAUUUAUGUUCUUUUCACUUCCUUUUCUCAUAGAUAAACAUUUUUAGAACACAUGUCAUCAAACAAUUACAGAAAAACUGUCACUACAGGGAACAAAAGCACCUGAGUAUGGGCAUAUGCCUUGAUGUUGAAUUGUCGAUGUAGUUUGCAAGAUCUGCAAGGCUGCAACACUCAUUCCCUGUCCCCCCUUCUCAUGCCUGGAUCCAAUGAAGGUUCCAAGAACAGGCGAACAAAAGAGUAGGAACUAGGAAGAGAAGAAUUGAAGAUGUCAGAUGCAACAAUCAGAGGCGGAGAGGCGGGCUAUUUUACAACGAAUCAAAAGAGUACUCGAUUAGGCGAAGGAGGAAGACAUACCAGCUCUCAUGUAGUGAUGCAUCAAACGUCUAUUGAUGAGGAACGUUGAGGAUGCAAUGAAAGGUGAUUGGGGAAGGGAACAACACCAUCGGUAUUCAUUAAUGAAUGCACGGGAGCACCACCUCGAAUUUGGAAGUGCACCGGAGCGGCGGCGCUGUUCUCUAGGAUUGGAGAACUUGGGGGAGGAGCCGAGGAGGCAAGGUGACUGGAGGAGAUCGAUGGAGUGCCGCAGUAGCGUAGCAAACUAGCGAGCAAAUCUUUCAAUCUAGGUGUGCUAGCUACGUGUUGGCCUUAGGUCUUUUCUUCUUGAUAUUUUUCCGGACCUAAAGAAGAAAAUUGUGACAGCCCGAUGCCGACGUUCCAGAAGAUUCCCCUUUUCCUUUCCGUUUCCGUCGUGUGGGUAUUUUUACUUGUUGCAUCAUCAUGUAGUUGCAUCAUCGCAUCAUGCAUGGCAUCUUGCAUCGUCUGUCGCGUGUGGUGUUUGGAGUGUUGUUCUUCGAGUGAUCACCGAGUCGUAGUGCGAUAGUAGCUCCCCCUCUCCCCUCUUAUGUCUUUUUGCGGUUUGCUAAAGUUUUCGUUUUAACCCCGUCAAAAGAUUCAUCUUCUUUUAAAGAAAAAUCAUUUUAUUAAAUGUGGGGGCAACCCCUUGGGUUUUCAUUUUAUUUCUCCUUUUGUUUUCUUUUUAAAACAGAGUCUCAUUUUUCUUUUCUCCUUUAAAAGAGCUUUUAUUUUAUUCUUUAAAUAAAAGAGGUUUUAUUUUAUUCUUCAAAAGGGUUUUAUUUUUAGUUGUUUUAAAAUGCCCAACUAUUUCUUAUAGUUGGGGUGUGGUUUUAAAAGGAGCAAAGGGUUUUUUGUAUUUGUUAAAUCCUUUUUUUGUGUGUGUGUGUAUCUCUGUUUUUUUUAAAAGGAAAAAAACCCCAAAGAGGGAGAGGCCCAGCCGGCCAAGGCCCAGCUGGACCCCCUCCAACCCUAGCGCCAGCCCGUUUCUCCUCGUCCUCCCCUCCAUCCCGCAGCGCCGUCAUCCUCGUCCCGUGCCUCUCUCGUCCUCCCAGCGUUCCUCCCGAUCCCCUCUUCCCCUCUGCCUGAGGAGCCCCCUGCCCACACUAGCGUCGAGCUCCCUCCCCUGCCAUGGCCGCCUCCUCCCGCGAGGAGCCCCUGCCCGCGUGCUCUGCCCCGCGCGCUUCCUCGCCCGGCUCCUCUCGCCGUGCCUCUGCCCGAGGUGCGCCGCGCCUGCAGCUCCCAUGCCCGAAGCCAGCCGGCGGCGUGUGCCCCUCGCCCCGGCCUCGCCUCUUCCUCGCCUCCAGUUCCCUCGCCGUAUCCCCGUGCGCCUCAAGCUCGCCGCAGCCGCCGGUGGCCGCCCAUUCCCCUUGCGUGCCGCCUGCUCCAGGGCCCCGACCUCCUCUGACUGCCGCCGUUGCUGCUUGGAGCUAGUUGUUGCUGUCGUGCCUGCUGCUGCUAGUGCUGCCUGCCUGGCGGGCUACCGUUCCCCGCGAUCCCCUGCCGCUGUGCCGAGCCGCUGCAUGUGCCUGUUGCUGUGCCCGAUGUGCUGCUAUGCUGCCAAGGCAUGUGUAGCACCUUGCUGGUGCUUGUCAUUGCCAAGCUGCUGCCGCUGUAGCUGUUGCUGUGCCGAGCUAUUGUUGUCCAUAGUUGCCGCAUUUUGCUGCUGCUGGUAGAUGCAACUGCUUAGCCGAUGCUGGCUGCACACAGUUGUUGUUGCGGUGCCGAAGCUGCUGCUCUGUUUUGCCCCAUGCUGUUGCCGCUACCUGAUGCCGUUGCUAAGCUGCUACUAAGCUUGCCUGCUGCGCUGUGAUGUUGCUGCCGUGGCUUGCCGAGGUGUUGCUGCCAGCUUGCCUGCUUGCCGUAGUGUGCCGAUGAUAGUUGCUGUUGCCGGUGUUGCUGUGGUGUUGCUGGUUUCCGUCGCUGAAGUUCGCAAGAACCCUCCCCGCCGCCGUGUGUCGUCGACAAGAUCGCGAGUACCACGACGUCCUCGACGACCCCGGAAACGAGUUCGACUUCCUCAACGUUGCCGAAGACCCGUGUUCGUCUACCGACGUCGCCGAAGACCCGUGUUCGUCUACCGACGCCGAAGAUCGUCUACCGACGCAAGAGAACGACUACCGUUGACGAGACCAUGUACGACUACUUCCGCGACGUCCACGACGACCGUUGGUCUCCUUCUCCAAACCGAACCGCUCCGGUAUGCACGCGUCGAAGGUAUAACGUUGAUACGUUGUCGUGUAUCGUGUACAAGUGAUGUAUGUAUAUAUGUAUGUUUGCACCGUAUGUUGCCCGUAGCAUGUUGUCUUCUUUCGUCGUGCCUCGACACAUGGGAACCCGAUAUACGGGAUCACCCCAUCUUAUUUACCAUUCCCGCACGCGUUCCUAGUUCGUUGGCACGUUAUCUCGAUGAGUUAUCGGGAUAGGUACGUUGCCGUGGCAUCGUUUCCGUCUUGUUGCCAUGGUUCCCUCUCGCUCGCCGUGGCGACAUAUGCUUCUUUGUCUUCUUGCCCGUGAUGUUUGAACUUGCAUGCAUGACGCAUUCAUGGCAUAAAAAUCUUGUGUUGCAUGUUCUUGUGCCGUAGCUCCGUUCUUUGUUCCGUGUGUUAACCGUCUAGGAUGCCAUGUAGAAUCAUCGCUUCACCUGUUGCCAUGUUAACCAAUUUAAUAUUUCCGUGUAAAUAAUCGGGAGCGAAUUAAAUAAUUAAACAUGGAGUUUCGUCGAUAUGCAACCCGUUGCAUAUCGAGCUUCACUUAAUGUGUAGUGUUUGAUUGUUGUGAUUGUCAUGCCUUGCAUUAGACCGUUCAUGCAUCAUAUGUGUCUUGCAUCACGUGGUGUAUAUCGUGUAUUGAUGCUUGUUUCCGGUUUCCUCCGUCUCGAUAGAGUUCCGCAAGCGUGUCAGAUGAGAGGACCGUUCGACUUCGUCGGUUCAUCUGCUUCACGGAGGCAUUCUUCUUCCAAGCGGGAUCUCAGGCAAGAUGAUCAUUUCCCUAGAUACCAUUACUAUCAUUGCCAUGCUAGUUUUAUCGCUUCUCUCGUUUAUGUCUACCACAUGUUAAAUAUCAGCCUCUCAACAAAGCCAUGAAACCUUCAACCUGUUCAACCUAGCAAACCACUGAUUGGCUAUGUUACCGCUUGCUUAACCCUGUGUUAGCGUUGCUAGUUGCAGGUGCAGUUGCUUACAUGUGAAAACAUGGGUUCCUUGUCAUAUCACCAUAUUAAAUGCUAUUUAAUUUAUUGCACCUAUAUACUUGGUAAAAGCUGGAAGGCUCGGCCUUUCUAGCCUGGUGUUUUGUUCCACCUUUGCCCCCUUAGUUUCUGGCUACCGGUGUUAUGUUCCAUAAUUGAGCGCUCCUAACUCGACCGGGGUUGUUAUGGGGACCCCCUUGAUAAUUCGUUUUAGAUUAAAGCUGGUAUGGCAGGCCCAACUUUGGUACUACAUUUGCCUAAUCACCUAAUAAACUUGCAUAGGGACUUUCCGGACCCCGAGGAUAGUUUAAUCAACCCCCGGGCUAGUGCUCCUCAUGAGUGUUGGUCCAAAACAGAGCACCGUGCGGGGCCACCGCAAGGAAACUCGAGGUUUGGCACUCGUAUGCUUCGCUUAUCCGUCAUGUCCUGAGAACGAGAUACGCGGCUCCUAUCGGGAUCGUCGACAUGCCGGGCGGCCUUGCUGGAUUAGUUUUACCUUUGACGAGAUAUCUUGUGCAUCGGGAUUCCGAUGAUGCUUUGGGUAAUCUCAGAGUUGAGCUUUUCCACUAGGGAAUCCGACGAGAUCGCGAGCUUCGUGAUUGAGGAUUUCUAUGCGGCUUGUGGUAAUUUGUGAUGGACUAGUUGGAGCACCCCCGCAGGGUUAAAUCUUUUCGGAAAGCCGUGCCCGCGGUUAUGUGUCAACGUGGAAACUUUGUUUAACACUGGUUCUAGAUAACUUGAAGUUAACUUAAUUAAAACAUGCCAACUGUGUGCGUAACCGUGACUGUCUCUUUCGUGAGUUCUUACUCCGAUCGAGGACACGGUGGGGUUAUGUCUGACGUAGGUAGGUGUUCAGGAUCAUUCAUUUGAUCAUCAGUAGACACGUCCAUUAUGCGUAGAUCUUCCCUCUCUUAUUUCUUGUACUCGUAAGUUUAGCCACCAAAUAUAUGCUUAGCCGCUGCUGCAACCUCACCACUUAACCAUACCUCACCCAUUAAGCUUUGCUAGUCUUGAUACCUUUGGAAAUGAGAUUGCUGAGUCCGCUGUGGCUCACAGAUUACUACAACACCAGUUGCAGGUGCAGGUAAAGGUUACUUGAUGCGAGCGCGUUGAUUGAUCAUUUGGAGUUGCUUCUUCUUCUUCUUCUUCAUCGAUCUAGGAUGGGUUCCAGGCCGGCAGCCUGGGAUAGCAAGGAUGGAUGUUGUUCUUAUUUUUUUCGUUUGUUUUCGUCCGUAGUCGGACCCUGCUCUUACUCUUGAUGAUUAUGUAAUGUACUGAUGUGACUCUGAUGUAGCUUGUGGCGAGUGUAAGCCAACUCUAUAUAUAUCUCUUCUUUUCAGUACAUGUACUUGUAACGAUAUCCAUUCUUGCGACACGACGAGAUGCGCUUCUAUCCCUGACGAGGCCCUCGUGCCAAAUUGAGGAUAGGGUCGCAUCUUGGGCGUGACAAAAAUAUCCUAAUAUGUAUACUGUACUACUACCUGGGAUGGGGCCCCUACCUCCCAGGGGCCUAGGACGGUCGCCCCGUUGCCCCGACUUAUGGGCCGGCCCUGAUGGGCAUUACCGGCCCCAUGGUACCUGGUCCUAUGCCUAUUGUUGCGUCAGUGGACAGAAGGAUAUCCACUGCUUCCGUGUUGCUGGACUACGACUCAAAGUUGACAUUGGUAAAUUCAGUAAAUUACCUCACUCACAAUUUAUGUCAUGUGCUCUAUCAGAAUUCCUUCCAAGAUACUAACAGAACAUUUUGACAAACUCGAGAGAUGCUGCUUCUGGGCCAAGAGGUGUGAAGAUAGUGUCAAAUUAGCUUUGCUCGCCUCGUGGAGCUUAGUUUGCCUACCAAAAAACAAAUAGGGUUUGGAUAUCAUAGAUGUGCGUGUGCAAAACCAGGGGUUGCUUCUGAAACAAUUGCCCAACUUCUAUAAUAGUUUGGACAAACCAUGGAUAAAACUAAUUGGGUUAGUGUAUUUUGAGAAUAGAGUAGCAAACAUAUGUGUGGUCUCUUUGGGUGGCGAGAGAUCUACACAGGGGCCACAAGGGUGGAACUGGGUGAUGGUAGCAUGGCAUUAUUUUGGAGAGACCUAUGACAUGAUGAGGUUCUUUCGGACAGCCAACCUCGCCUUUGCUCUCUCGCUAGGUAUGAGGACGUCUUGGUUUAGGAUCUACUAACAACCAACUACUUGAGUCAAAAUUUCCAAUUGUCGCUCACUAUUUAGGCUAGAGAAGAGUUGAUUAAUCUAGUGAUUGCUGGAGAUGCUUGUGGGGACUGAAUGAAUUUGAAUCCAAUAAAUACUACAUUGUUUUUGAGACAUGGUAGCGCAUGAGGCCUUCGAGUGGGUCUGGAAGUCAAAAUGUACUAACAAAUGGAGACUGUUCGCCUGGUUGUUAGUGCCUACCGACUAAAUGUCCGAAGCAUGCUAAAGAGAAGGAACUUGUUGAUACAUGACAACAACUAUGUGUGCUUGUUGUGUGAUAAUUCAUGAGUGAUAUUUUUACACUCAUUUCAACCUUGUUUAAACCGAGGUAUUUCAUUGAAAGCGAAAUAUUUGCUUAAAUAUUGCCACUAAUGACUAAUGAAUGCAAAGAAUCCCACAAAUUCUCUCUUUGAUAUUUUUCCGUGAGAAAUGGGCUAAAAAGGGAAGAAAUCAUGUGGGAGUAAGGAAAUGAAGGAAAGUGGAGAAGAAAUAAGUCACCAGGACGCACCAGAAGGCCGCGAGAGCCAAAUGUGGCGUUCCAUGUGAGCGCACGUGUUUGCGUGAGCGGUCGUUUGGCGUCGAAACCGAGGCAGGUCAUCCACAUAAAUCAAUUUUAAUUAAGGAGAACCCAUCGAAAUGUCAACAAAACAAGCAGAAGGAGUGUGUCGAGCACAUCGAGAACCUCUUCAUCACCAUCUCCAUCCACCAAUCCUAGCCAUCUCCGCCACUAUAGUGAUGUCUCAUCUAGUUCAUACUUGUAAUCGUGCAUCACACAAGGCAUCAAUUUUAAGACAUAUUGCAAUCAAUCAAUCCCAAGAUGUGUUCUUCAAUGAUUUCUUAUCGCUAUAUGAUAUCCAUGUGUGAGUAGUUUGGUAAGGUAUGGGGUGAGGAAUGAGCCUAGCAAGCCCAUGUAUUUUGUGAAGGGAUCAAUGGAAGUAUUUAACAUAACGUCUCGUAUGUGUGAAAUAAAAUUGUUUUGUGAAGUGUCUCAUGUCUUGUCUGCGAUCUUCAUCCCUCCAGACAUCGAGGAUCAUAGAGAUCGAGCACCACAUAGGCUAGGAGAAAGGGGACCGUGAAGUGUUAUAUCAAACACUAGUGAUGGUAAGGUUUAGUAGGGUAACAUGGAUCAUACAUAACCUUGGGGAUUCAUGAGGUGUAGUCAUUAAACACCCAAUACUUUUGUCUGAUACUAUUAUCUUAAUUAUUGGGGCAACUCCGCAAGAUGGAUAUGGCCGUCGUUAGGACAACUGAUUCUUGACGCGGGACUCAUGCCGGUCAAGAUGUAAUUUGGACACAUCCCCCACUCCGAACGAAGUAGGAAAUUCUUGUGGGUGACUUCCCAAGCACAAACAAAUAUCAAUUUGAUCCCAACACCAAUACAUGGCUGUAAGUAUUAAGACCUCAUCCCCAUACCUUCCUUCUAUAAUAAGUGUUGAAUCACAAUUUUAUUGUUGAUCUGGUCAACAGACGGAUUAAGACUUUCGUAAAAAACUAGCUAGAGACCAUUGAUUCAAGGGAGUAUUCCUCUCGUGGGUUCGAUACCCAGGGUAACCUCUCGGGAAAUAAGUGCGGGAUACUACUACUUGUAAACUGCAUUGUGUUUCCCCGAACAGGAGGGGAGAUGCACCAUAGUAGAGAUAAGUAUUUCCCUCAGCAAGAACCAAGGUUAUCAAACCAACAGGAGAAUCACGGAAACCCCCUUCGACAACACCUACACAUACACAACCAAACACUUGCGCCCAACACAGGCAAGAGGGUUGUCAAGUACCUUGAACUCAUUACUUGCAAGGAUUAAAUACUGGUAGAUAGAUAAGAGAAAUAAAAGUAAAUAACAAUAAAUAAAUUGCAACACGGUAAAUGAGUUUUAGUAAAUAUAUUUGAGUAGACACGAGAGACAUUGUUUUCGCUAGAGGCUUCCCUCUUGAACAUAGCAUACGGUGAGUUAUGACAUGUUAUUCACGACAAUGAUCAUGUAUAUAGGCAUCACAUACAAAAACAAUUAGUCCGACUCCUCCCUGCAUCAACUACUAUUACUCCACUCAUCGACCGUUAUCCAGCAUGCAUCUAGAGUAUUAAGUAUGAAACAGAGUAAUGCUUAGAGCAAGGUGACAUGAUGUAGACAAAGUAAGACAACCAAUAUGUUCAUACCCCGUCAUUUUAUCAUUAAUGUCAACAAUACAAUACGUGCUAUGCCAUUUUCUGUCAAUAGGAUUGAGCAAUGCAAGAUUGAACCCAUCACAAGGCACCACUCCCACUAAAGAUAAAUCAGUCUAGUUGGCCAAACCAAACUGAUAGAUUGGAGAGAAAUACAAAGCUAUAACAAUCAUGCAUAAAAGAAUUCAGAGAUGACUUAAUAAAAUUCAUGAAUAAUCUGAUCAAUAAACCACAGUUCAUUGGAUCACAACAAACACACCGUAAAUUAGGAUUACAUUGGAUAGAUCACCGCAGGAAUCACAAUUAACUUUUUAAUUGAAGAUUAACAAGAGAAAAAGUUAAAUUGUGAUUCCUGCGGUGAUCUAUCCAAUUGAAGAUUAACAAGCUAUCUACGUAUUAGCUAUAGACUCGUAGGUCUAUGGCGGACUACUCACACGUCAUCAUGGAGGCAACAAGGUUGAUGUAGAUGGCCUCCAUGACCGAUUCCCCCCGGCAGGGCACCAAAAAAGGACUCCAGAUGGCCUCCCAUCGGAACAGAAGCUUGCGGUGGUAGAAAAAGUGUUUUGGGUGGCUCCGUGUUGGUUUCCCGAUUUUAGAAGAUUUAUGGGGGUGAAAUUAGGUUAGAUGAAGCCACGAAGGGCCCAUAAGGCAUUAAGGUGUGCCAUGUUGCCUUGCCGUGUCCUUGUGUGUCCCGCGGCAUCCUUUUGAAGCUUCUAGGAUCUCUUUUGUCAGGAAAAAAAUUGUCAAUUUUUUUCAAAAAAUUUGGACUUCGUUUGGUACUGAUUUCCUGGAAAAACAAAAAGAAGCAAAAAAUAGCAACUGGCACUUGGCACUGGGUUAAUAGGUUAGUUCCUAAAAUGUAAAAAAAUAGGAAAUAAUUGCAUAUAAAGAAUCCAAGAUUUAUAAUAUAAUAGAAUGGAACAAUAAAAAACUAUUGAUACGUUGGAGGCGUAUAAACUUCCCCAAGCUUAAUUAUGUUCGUUCUCGAGUAGGUGAAUGAUAAACAUAAAAUUUUGGAUGCGACAUGCUACCCAACAUGUAAUAUCUUUUAGAUAUCAUCUUGAGAAACGAUGAACUAAUUUAUAUCGCCAUAGUAAUAUCCAUAAACAUAAACAACAUAAUAAUUCAUAUUAAAAAUAUGUACAAUCCUUAAAGAAUGUUAUUCCCUACUCAUUUUCUCAUAUUAGCAUGGCAUGACUCCAUCUUCACCGCAUAAAUAUUAACAUGAGCACCUCGUUGUCAGGUAAGGCAAUUGGAUCGUACUUCUACCAUGGUUCAACAUUUUUAACCUCACUCAAUACAUGAGCGUGAACCAUGGAUAUGGCAUAUGGGUGGAAUAGAAUAUGGUGGUAGAGAUCAAAACGGGUCAAAGUGGAAUGGAAGUCUCGCAUCAACUAGGUGUACCAACGGGCUAUGAAUAUGCCCAUCAAUCAAUAUCAAUCGAGGAGUAGGGAUUCCCAUGCAUCGGAUGCACUAGAGCUAUAAGUGUAUGAAAGCUCAACGGAAGCUAAGUCGGCGUGCAUCCAACUUGCUUGCGCAUGAAGACCUCAGGCAUUCGAGGAAGACCGUCAUCAGAAUAUACAAGACAAGUUCUAUAACGAAAAAUUCCCACUAGCAUAUGGAAAUGACAACUUAGGGGACUAUCUAUAUGAAGAACAAGGUGCUACCUCUAAGCACAAGUGUGGAAAAAAGAUAGUAGCAUUGCGCCUUCUCUCUUUUCUCUUCUUUUUUUCUUUUCCUUUUAUUUUUUCUAUUUUUACUUUAUUUCUUUUUUCAUUUUCAUUUUUUUAUUUUUUGCCCGGAGUUUCAUCACUACUUGUGGGGGAAUCCAUCAUCCUUUCCUCACUCGGACAUCACUAAUAAUGAUGAUCAUCACACUUUUAUUUCCUUACGACUCAAUAUGAAAAACUACUAUACAUGAUGAAUCUGUAUGAUUGCCUCUCACAGUGUACCAUGAUGUGCAAUGAUCUAGCAUAACAUGUAGAUAAUGAUGAAUGGUAGCUAUGCCACUAUGUCAGCUACAUGAUCAUGCAAAGCAACAUGAUAAUGAACACACAAGUCAUGUGAGAGAACACUGGAAGUUGCACGGCAAUAUAUCUCGGAAUGGCUAUGGAAAUGCCAUGAUAGGUAGGUAUGUUGGCUAUUUUAAGGAAGGUAUAGGAUGGCUUAUGUGUGAUAGAGCCUAUCAUAUGACGUGGUUUGGAUGCACCGGCGAAGGUUGCACCGAUCCUAUAGGUGAUAAUGGGCAAUGCAUGGUAAUGAAGAGGCUAGCAAUUAUGGAAAGGUGAGAGUGCACAUAUCCAUGGAUUCACAUUAGUCAUAAACAACUCAUAUACUUAUUGCAAAACCUAUUAGCUCUAUAAAAGAAAAGUACUACCACAUACCCCUAGGGAGGAGGUUGGUAGGAGUUAACCAUCGCGCGCCUCCAACCCGGGCAAUACGAUAGGAUUUCAAUGAGGUAUACGAAUGCUCACACAUCAUCAUCAUGUCAUAACAAAUAUUUAGAUGAGUAACUAAUAACAUGCUUUAAUACAAGUAUUUCUACUACAAAAUGAUCAUGUACUCAUGUCCUUUAAUAUUACUACAUCAAUGUAAUUUACCUACGGUUCUCUUCUAUGGUGAGAUACCUGAAACUUUUUAUUAUAUCCCCCUUGAAUACAUAUCAUUUGUGGACUAGUCUUAUAAUACAUGCAUAUUACCAUUACUAUUUCUUAGACUCUGAUGCGUCCAUUUUACAUAAGGAUUUCCUAUCGACAUUUAUAUUAUUAUUGGUCAUUAUUCCACUUUAUGAUACAAUUCUUAUGCAUUUUCUCUCUGAAUUUAUGACGUACAUUACAAAUAGGAAAAUUACCGAAACUGGUAUUCUGGACCUGAAACCCAAGAAAAAGGCUGAAAAUUCACUAGACUCCAAAUGACCUGAAACUUCACGAGGAAUAUUUGUGGAAUAUAUGUGAAUUUAUGGAGCAAUAAUAUACCAGAGAGGGUCCAAGUGUAGGUGCCAGGCCAAUAGGGGCGCCCACCCCCUAGGUGCGCCCUGAUGGCUUAGGACCACCUCGCAGGUGCCCUGUCCCUCCCUCUUCCGCUAUAACAUGUCUUUUGACCUAGAAAAAAAGGACAAGAUACUUUCGAGAUGAAGCAUCGUUGUCUCGAGGCGAAAACCUGGGCAGAGGCCCUUUUGCUCUUCGGGAGAGCAAUUAUGCCUGGGAAACUUCCCUCCAGGAGGGGAAAAUGAUGCCCUCGUCAUCACCAAUACUUCCUUCUUCGUGGGAUGCCCAAUAUCCAUAAACAUCUUCACCAGCACCAUCUCAUCUCAAACCCUAGUUCAUCUCUUGUACUCAAUGUUUGUCUCAAAACCUCAGAUUAUUGGUACCUGUGGGUUACUAGUAGUGUUGAUUACAUCUUCUAGUUGAUGCUAGUUAAUUUACUUGGUGGAAGAUAAUAUGUUUAUAUCCUUAUUCAUAAUUAUUACACCUAUGAUCUUGGACAUGGUGAUGAUUUGUGAGUAGUUACUUUUGUUCCCGAUGACAUGAGAGAAGUCUUGUUAUAAGUAAUCAUGUGAAGUUGGUAUUCGUUUGGUAUUUUGAUGAUAUGUAUGUUGUUGCUUCUCAUAGUGUUCUUGCGUGAACGUCAACUACACGACACUUCACCAUGUUAUGAGCCUAAGGGAAUACAGUUUGGAGUAAUAAGUAGAUGAUGGGUUGCUAGAGUGACCCAACCUUAAACCCUAGUUUAUGCAUUAUUUCAUAAGGGGCUGAUUUGGAUCCACAUGUUUCGUGCUAUGGUUAGAUUUAUCCUAAUUUUUUUCCCGUACUUUUGAAUGCUUGCAAGAGGGGGUAAUAAUAAGUAGGUUGCUUGUUCAAGUAAGAACAUCACCUUAGCAUCGGUCCACCAACUUAUUAAAUUAUCAAAAUAAUGAACGUGAAUCAACUAAACAUGAUGAACAUGAGUAGACGGGAAUUCCCAUGUGUCCCCGGGAGCAGUUUUCUUCAUAUAAGAGUACUUUAAGGCUCGUCCAUUGCUACAAAAAGGAUUGGGAUAUUUUUAUUCACACUUUCUAUUAUUGUUACUUGUCACUUGUUACAAUUUAUCUUGCUACAAAACUAUCUAUCAAUGUUACUUACAACAUUUGCAAAGAAUACCUUGCUGAAAACUGCAAAUCAUUUCCUUCUGCUCCUCAUUGGGUUUGACACUCUUACUUAUAGAAAGGACUAUGAUUGAUCCCCUAUACUUCUGGGUCAUCAAGACUAUUUUCUGACGCCGUUGUCGGGAAGUGAAACGCCUUUGGUAUGUGGACUUUUGUAGGGAAACAUUUUUGGUACAUGCUGAAAUUUACUGUUGCUUGUUUCUAUGGAUAGUAAUCCUUUGAAGGGAGCGUUCGGGGUAUGUUCACCCCAAACAGAAGUAGAAAAUAUUUCCCCUCAACCUACUAAACUUUUUGGAAACAUUUAUUAUGAGAUUCAUUUGGGUAUGUUAGAGAAAGUGCUUGAAAAUCCUUAUGUAGAAGACAGUACAACUCAUCCUAAUUACCACUUGAUAUAUGGUGAGGAGAUUUGCGGAUUAUUUAAGCUUGCAGGUUUAUCCGAGGACAAAGUAAAUAAGAAGUUUUUCCCUUUAUAUUUGGAGGGAAAAUCUUUCAUGUGGUACAGGAUAUUGCAUAAUAUUGGAUCAUGGUACUAGAAUCGCUUGAAGCUGGAAUUUCAUAAGAAGUUUUACCCUAUGCAUCUAGUUCAUCGUGAUCGGAACUACAUAUAUAAUCUCUGGACUCAUGAAGGAUAAAGAUUUUCCCAAGCUUGGGAGAGGCUUAAAUCUAUGAUGCACACAUUCCUAAACCGUGAGAUCUCAAGAGAAAUUAUUAUACAAAACUUUUAUGCUCGACUUUCUCAUGAUGAUCAAUUGAUACUCGAUUCUUCUUCCAUUGGUUCCUACAUGAAGAGAACUAUUGAAUUAAAAUGGGAUCUUUUGGAAAGAAUUAAAUGCAACUCUGAAGACUGGGAACUCAACAAAGGUAACAAGUAAAGUAUACAGCUUGAGUUUGAUUGUGUCAAAUAUUUUAUGGAAACUGAUACUUUUCAUAAGUUUAGCAACAAAUAUGGACUUGACUCCGAUAUAGUAGCUUCUUUGGGUGAAUCAUUUGAUACUCAUGUUGAUCUCCCUAAGUAGAAGUAUUUUAAAUUUCAUCGACCUAUUGAAAAACUAUUGUAGGACCCAUUAAAGUUAAAGAAAAAAAUUUGUUUAGCAUGUUGAUCCACUUGUGCCUACUGCUUAUAUUGAUAAACCACCUUUUCCCUAUAGGAUUAAGGAACAUGUUAAAGCUGCAACUAUAGUUCACAAAAUUCAUAUUAGGACACCUAAACAUUCUGAACAAAUAAAAGUGGAACCUAAUAUUGCUAUGGUUAAAUAUCCCCUAGUUGAUAAUAUUGAUGGUGAUGUUAUUUACUUCAGUGAUGAAGCUGCUAGAAUUACAAAACCUGUUAGAAACAAACAUGACGAGUUAGAUAAAAAUAAACCACUUGUUGAAAAGCGUGUUGUUUGUGUAAAUAUUGGAGAUCAUUGUUAUCAUGGCUUAUGUGGCAUAUGUGCUAGUUUUAGUGCUAUACCAAUUACCUUAUGUAAGGAAAUUAUAAAUGGCAUAGCACCCUCGAAGAUUGAAGAUAUUGAUAUCACUAUUAAACUUGCAAACAGAGACACCAUUUCACCCCUUGGGAUUGUUAUAGAUGCUGAAGUAUUGUGUGGAAAAAUUAAGUACCAAACUGAUUUUUAGUACUUGGUUCACAACAAGAUAACUUUUGUCCCAUUAUACUUGGUAGACCUUUCUUGAAUAUAGUUAAUGCUGAAAUUAAUUGUGUUACCGAGAAGGUUAAAGUAAGCUUUGGUGAUGUGUCUCAUGAAUUUAAUUUCUCUAAGUUUGGUAGACAACCACACUAGGAAGAAUUAUCUAAUAAAUAUGAAAUUAUGGGUCUUACUUCUAUUGAUGUGCCUCCUAUUAUUCCAUUGGAACAAUAGUUGUUAGGCCAUGAGAAAUGAGAUAUAUGAUAUUUUGUUUAGACAAAAACCUAUUUUUAAAAACAACUUGCAUGUUGACAUCUUAGGGGAUCCUCCUUCACCUAAGCGAGAUCCCGUAUUUGAACAAAAUAAAUUACCUUAUACUUUGAAAUAUGCUUAUCUUGAUGAAAACUAGAUAUAUCAUGUUAUUAUUAGUGCUAACCUUUCAGAGCGUGAAGAAAAGAUAUUAAUUAAAACUAUGAAAGAGCACAUAACUUAUGUCAGUGCAGAUGUGCACUCGAUCACCUAUGGGAGAUUUGGCCCCUUGUGGUUCGCGGGGAGGUCAUGUGACACAAAGAGCAGAAACUACAAGGCGGCACGAUGAUGAGACUUGGGUGUUUUUACCCAGGUCCGGGCCGCUAUGAAGCGUAAAACCCUAUUCCUGCCUUGGUGGAUUGAUUGAUGAAGAUGAAGUUCAGACGGAGUUUUGCCCCAGCAAGGGUUUCCGCUGAGAGCUAUCACAUACGUACAAGUACACUUGGUUGGCUCUAAUCCCCCGAGGAUCCGAAACUACCUAGUGUAGAAUCUUAAAGUGUUCGAAUCCUUUGCUAGGUUGCCUCGACCUCCUUUUAUAGCUCAAGGGGCGUCCACAGUGGCAAACAAUCAUGAUCAGAUAGCUAACAAUGCUAUCAUACCUUACUCUGGUACUUAAGACAAAGCACCAUAAAUGUAGCCUUAGGUGGCGAGCGGGGGUGCGUUCCCGGCAAGCUCCUGCCACCUAUGAGCUGGCCGUGGCUUUGGGGUCUUGACACACCUCUGGACGGGUGUCAAUAUGUUGUAAUCUGUCUUUCGACAAGCUACCAUGUAUUUAGCGAGAGAUGCCUAGCCAUCUGGGAGCUCGAUGCCUCAUCUACAAGUGACUGGUGUAGCGAUGAGGUGGAGUGGUGGCAGGUUGGCCUCCACUUGCCGGGGAGGCGCCUUGCUUGGUCCUAGUGAGGAUGCAUGUGCCUUCUCCCCUCGCAGGUGGUGGGGGUUCAUGGAAUGUCUUGGGCUCUUUGUGUAGGUCUUGCCGGCGCCGUCAGCCAUCGGGGGCCGCAUCUGCCGGAGUCUUGGUCUUCUUGAUGCGCUCCGACCUCUCGUAGAGCAACUUCUCUGGCCCUGGCCAAGUCUUGAGGAAGUGGUAGCAUCCCCGACAACUUUAGGCCGCCGUGUUGGUGGCUUGUUGUCCGUGCACAAAUCAGGGGGAAAUAUACACCCCUGUUUUUGUACCACGACAGAAGCCCCUCAGCCUGAGCCAUACGUAUCGCUAGGCAUGUUGGGUUAUGCUCCCUUAAUGCACGAACACGUGUUGAGAAACUGCCAUCCCUCCCACGACCCAUGUCCAAUCCACGCAUUUAGCACACAUCGUGGGGGUCGUCGAAUGAUACGUCCAUUUCGCAUGAUGCUUUCAUGUUGAUAUUUAUUGCUUUAUGGGAUGUUAUAUUACUUUGUGGUACCAUAUUUAUGCCUUUUCUCUCUUAUUUUGCAAGGUUUAUUUGAACAGGGAGAAUUCAGGCAGCUGGAAUUCUGGCCUGGAAAAAGAGCAAAUCUUAGUCCACUAUUCUGCACAUCUCGAAAUGCCCUGAAAAGUUACGUGGAUUUUAUUGGGAUUAUAUAAAAAAUACUAGGCGAAAGAAGUACCGGAGGGGGGCUGCCAGGGCGCCACAAGCCCUGCCGCCGACACCCCCUGGUGGCCGAGUGGGGGCUUGUGGGCUCCCUAACGGCCCACUAGCCCCCCUCUUUUGCUAUAUGAAGGGUUUUGGUCCAGAAAAAAUCAUUUGGGAGCUUUUUCGUGGUUUCGCCGCCGCCACGAGGCGGAACUUGAGCAGAUCCAAUCUAGAGCUCCAGUAGGACGAUCCUGCCGAGGAAACUUCCCUCCCGGAGGGGGAAAUCGUCGCCAUCGUCAUCACCAACACUACUCUCAUCGGAGGGGAGGCAUCUUCAUCGACAUCUUCAUCAGCACCAUCUCCUCUCCAAUCCCUAGUUCAUCUCUUGUAACCAAUCUUCGUAUCGCAACUCCGAUUGGUACUUGUCAGAUUGCUAGUAGUGUUGAUUACUCUUUGUAGUUGAUGCUAGUUGGAUUACUUGGUGGAAGAGUUUAUGUUCAGAUCCUUGAUGCAAUUAAUUACACCUCUGAUCAUGAUUAUGAUUAUGCUUUGUGAGUAGUUACUUUUGUUCCUAAGGACAUGGGAUAAGUCAUGCUGAUAAUAGUCAUGUGAAUUUGAUAUUCGUUCGGUAUUUUGAUAUGCUGUAUGUUGUCUUUUCCUCUAGUGGUGUUAUGUGAACGUAGACUACAUAACACUUCACCAUAAUUGGGCCUAGAGGAAGGCAUUGGGGAGUAGUAAGUAGAUGAUGGGUUGCUGGAGUGACAGAAGCUUAAACCCCAGUCUAUGUGUUGCUUCGUAAGGCGCUGAUUUGGAUCCACUAGUUUAACGCUAUGGUUAGACGUUGUCUUAAUUCUUCUUUUGUAGUUGAGGAUGCUUGCGAGAGAGGUUAAUCAUAAGUGGGAUGCUUGUCCAAGUAAGGGCAGUACCAAGGCGCCGGUCCACCCACAUAUCAAACUAUCAAAGUAACGAACGCGAAUCAUAUGAACAUGAUGAAACUAGCAUGAUAGAAAUUCCCGUGUGUCCUCGGGAGCGUUUUUCCUCCUAUAAGACUUUGUUCAGGCUUGUCCCUUGCUACAAAAGGGAUUGGGCCACUUGCUGCACCUUUGCUACUACUUGUUACUUGUUACUUUUUGCUUGCCACAUUUCAUCUCACUACACAAUCACUUGUUACCGCUACUUUCAGUGCUUGUAGUUAUUACCUUGCUGAAAUCCGUUUAUCAGAGCCUUCUGCUCCUCGUUGGGUUCGACAGUCUUACUUAUCGAAAGGAUUACGAUUGAUCCCCUAUACUUGUGGGUCAUCACCGAACAGUAGCCGUUGGGGAGUAAAAAGGAGAACCGCCCGUACAUAAACGACAAUUCCUCUUAGCGAUAGCGAAGAGAGAGCCCCCAAUGCGUGGCCCCAUACAUAAGGAAGGGAUCCUGCAAAGGAAGCACUGCUCAUUCACAUCUGCCUCUCCACCUUUCACUCCCCAGCCCUCCUCCAGCAAAGAAACCGCCUCCGCCGUCGCCGUUCCUUCUACGGGCAUUGCCGAAUCUCCCACUAUUCAAGGGAGAUGGGGAAGAAGACGACCAACGUGAAGGGAAGGAAGACAGCUGAGGCGAAGGAGCGGAUUGAGAAGAAGAGGAGAACAGAGGAAGCGGAGAAGCGAUGGUGGGAAGAUGUUGUUUUAUUCCCGCCGAAGCUGGAUGGCAAUACCCUGAUUUCAAGGUACAUAUAUAUGUGGGGGAGAGAUACCAAGCGGCACGGGGAGCCUGAAGUUCUGCGAGACGCGCCCAAGGAGAUGACGCCAUCACAUUCGUACCGCUUCUUCUGCGCGUACUUCUACUGUGACCUCUCUCCCCCUUCUCUGAUUUUUCUUCUGUGCCAUGAUGGUGACGUAUGGAUUUCACCUCCUGGAUUUCAUGCCCCAUGCAAUGGCGUGCAUGGCGAUCUUUGCCCACCUGUGCGAGCACUUUGUCAGGGUCGCACCUAAUGUAGAUUUGUUCACGCACUUCUUCACCCCCAGAUAGAGGACAAGAAUGACCGCUCGAGUAACGUUAGCUGGAUUCCCCGGGCCAAGGAGGAUUGGGGAUAUCUCCGUGGCCAAUAUCAUGGGAAGUGGGAAGAGUGGAGGGACGAUUGGUGUUGGAUCAAGGACGCCAAUUGCCCGAGUUCUGUUCCGCAUGAACUGCUUGUGUCUCGUGCAAUAAUGAUUCGAGCAUCUUGGUCCUUUCCGAUGGAAAGCUUCGCCCAACGCUGAACAGGGUUACCCACAUCAAAGCUGCCGCACUCACCAUUCAACACAUAGGGGCCGACUUCCUUCGGCGCUGCAUUGCACCACUUGAGAAGAGGGACAUGUUCUCCUGGGAGUUUAACGGCCCCGCCGAUUGGAUGCGGCUGUACCUAGGCACCAUCAGCAACCUGAAGUCGAUUAUCGUGGAUGGUUGUGCUAUCAGCUAUUUGGUGACACGGGGCCGUUCCAUCUACCAGCAGGGGUCGUCCCCUUCCAUAUUAAUUCAAUCAAGAACCAAAUUCUGCAGUGGAUGCCAGAUUGCAAUGCUUCCGGGCUUAAGCCGGAUUGGGCUUUGCUCUCCCUGGAAGACAACAUGGUGUGGCUCUCUAACUUGGAGGAAAGAGCCUUCAAGCAAGACAAGAACCUGACCACGCCCACUAGAUAUGCAGAGAUGGCUUACAUUUCCGCCCGAGUCGCGAAGGAUUGACGGGACAAGGCCGCCAAGGGAACGUCCUCCAGGAACGAAGGAGAGGGAAAAUCUGGAGAGAGUGACUCUUCCGGAGAGGAACACGAGAAUCUUCCCCAACAGCUGCUGUCGGGUUGGAGUCUUGCGGGGGUGGAGCUCUCCAGGUCGACAUCGAGGUGGAGAAGGCAAGAAGGCCGGUAGUGGAGGAAGAGGGGCUCGUGAUAGCCCCCAAGCUCCGGAACCAGGGUGGCACCCUCGCCAGCGCGGCCGCCGGGAAGCGGCAGCUCCGGCGCCUCCGCAGGCCCUUCCGAAGACAAAGAAGACAACCUCCAAGGCAAGGGGACGCAAGGGAGCAUGUCGUCAAUCCCCUCGUCUUUCCUAAGCCAAGGUCUCUCCUAUCAGGAGACAGAGGGUCAUGGCGGUGGACCCCAACCCCCCAUCAAGCACAACUUCUACUCCUGGCUCGCCUCUGCCCGAAGCUCCAACUCUGUUGCGGAACCCCGCACCAACAACUCUGAAGAGGGGCAGAUAAACUCUGCCGCCCGCAUCAUAUGAGGUAGGAUCCAUGCUCAUGGCUUCAGAGUAAGUUCUUCAUAUACCAGCAUCAACAAAGCCCUUCAUUCUCGAUGCUUUGACAUAUUUGGUUGGAUUAUUCAUUUGACAUGGAUGAGGACGAGGAGCUCCUUGCGCAUAGGGGCAACUGGGCCAAAUCUUCGGCAGGGUAGGAUGCCGUGGCAGAUACGGUCCUCGUGGGAGGUGCAAGGGAGAAUCCCACGUCUAUCCCCCAGGCCAUCCUCCACUAUAAGAUCCAGGCGCAAUCCCCGUCUCGUGGCAGGGACGAAGAGAGGCAUCCUCCUACCCCCGAUAAGGAGAAAUGAGAUGUUCAUUAGGGAGAGGCCCGCCAGGAGGGGCCUUCCCUUCAAGACCUCUCUGCAACCGUUGCCAUGGGGAGAGAUUCUGUGGCAAGGGCCCCCGUCGAAGGGCCUGUGUGUGUAGAAUCUGCCAUCGAAGAAGCAACAAUGAUCCGCCCCUGACAGUUCAUCUUGCGGGGAAAACAAAUAUUCCUCUUAGGCAGACCCCAUCGAGUAUCCUACUUGCCUAUGACUUGAUUUCUUCUGUCCCGUUGCUUUCCUUUGAUAAAUUUCUUGAUUGUUAUCUUGUUGUUCAUUGCCUUUGAUUACAACGUUGCCAUCUGAAGAAUCAGAGCUGUUGGAAGAGGUGGCUGGCAUCGGGAAGGCUGCCGCUGCGGAGGUGGAGAAUAUUGCUGCCGCAGAGGGCGACGGUCGGUUGACGGGAAACUUUAGGAGUCCCUUGAAAUAACAUCAUCAAACCCUGGCAGCUCGACUGUCCUGUCCUUAGUUAUUAAGGGGAAGACCCCCCUUCAGGCUCUGGGACCCAUGCCUCCGCGGUAUCCUCUGCCAUCAUCUCUGCCAUCAUCUUCAGACUACCUAGCGAUGGUUACCGCUUCUUUGUGCCCUCCAACUUCGGACGUGUCCUUCUCAGCUGGCACAAACAUCGUUGAAGGGAUCGAGCAGGCGCUGGCACCACUGUGUCAGAAAGUUGGACGGUUUUAUGAUGUUUCAAGGAUUUGGCUUUCUUGGAAUCCAUGGCUGCCGGAAUCAAGGACAUGCACAACAGGUACAAUCUCAAGGUGCAGGCAGCCAAAGAGCAAUGUGAGCAGGAGGACCUUGUGGGCAAGUAGUUCGGGUGCAAGGGAAACGAACUGCGAGAGCCGUACAACCAGGAGGUCCAUUCCUUCAGGAGGCAGCAUGAGAUGCUAUCCAUGGCCAAGGAAGACGUUGUAGCCUCGGAGACCAGCCUGGUGGAGCACAAAGCACGUCUGUACGCCAGGGAGGCGGAAAUCAUCUGCCGAGAAGAGGCCCUCAAACUUUCCCUUCAUAAUAAGGAAGUGGAGAUGGAGGUUCGCCUCUCACAAUGCACCAAGGAGCUAGAGGAUGGCCACAAAGCUACUCUUGCCACGCUCUCCUCAACUUCCGCUGCCCAUUAGAAAGAGGUGUCCAACGAGCUUGCUUCCACGGCUACCGUGAUGCCCUCUUCAUGGUCUUGAGAAACCUCGCCUUCUUCCACCCGGAGAUUGACCUCUCCGAUGGUUUCAAGAAGCUGCCGCCGGGAACUGAUGUCUCUGGUGCCGCGGACAACGCAAACCCUUUUGCCCACAGGGUCUUUGCGGUCUCAAGGGUCCAAGGAGGCCGCCAGAAUUAGUUUCGACCCACUCCUGUCGUCGUGUCGUCCUGUACUCAAGACAUGAUAUGUAUCUCGUAUCAGUCCAUGCACUAUCUUUGCUUUGUUGAACUAAUGUAUUUAUGUAAUUGCAUGCCAUCCCUCUUUGCUUUCCCUCUGGUAUUCAUAUGGCUAAUUCCUUUGCAUGCUCUGGUUGCCCACCAACAACGUGUUGCCGAAAUUUCCUUGAGGAAUGGGUCCUUAGUAUCUUGCAGGCGAGGACACGUUGCCGACGAGUUUUUCCUCAUGGGUCUUUGAUGCUGCUGUGGGUUUUGUUGAGAAGGCUCGAAACAAAAUAGGGAGCGAUCAGGAAGACAUUAGGUUCCAUUACGCAUCAGGUUCACCAUACAAACAAACCUUUGUCGCAAAGGAGACUAUACGAAAUGUAAGCUUUUUAGCGAAAAACCAACGGUCGCAUCGACUUAUCUUUCAUUCGGGCUUCAUUUUUAUCUUGGCGCUCAUCCGCCCACAUCCGCCGUUCCCUCCUCUCUCCAUCGGUGCUUCUUCCCUUCGCGCUCCCCAGUAUUUGCAUGGCGUAAACCAUGGCUAUUCUGAGAGGAAGAGAAGGACAAAAAAAGAGUAAAUGGAGGUACUUGGGAGAAAUGUUAGUUAUAAGUGUGGUGUGCGGCAAGAGCUUGCCGUGCCAAUGCAAGCGUUCACAACUUAGCCGGAAGGGAAGGAAUAGCAAAUAUGCUCGGCCGAACCUUCCUUCUUCCCCUUCUUGCUCGACGGUCCUGUAACUAUCACAAGGCUGGAAACGAUGGGUAAUGGGACCUCGCUAUGGCCCGUUCGCCGGGGUCGCUGACCAAUGGAUCGUCUCGAGCGUUUGGCCUGGGAUUUACCAACGUGGGGAAAAUGCAAGACCUAACGGCAUGCAAGCUCGUCGACAACGGCGGCUCCGCCUUCGCGCAAACCCGACCACAGGUGGGGAAGGGGAAGAUAUGAAGGAUAUAGCCGUGUACCUUUUCUUCUUCCCCACCCAUUCAAUCGCAACCACACCUCCUCAUGGUUUAGGUGGGUUUGCUCAAUGAUUGUGAUAGGGAUGGCACCAUGGUCUACUGAUACAUCUCCAACGUCUCGGUAAUUUAUGAAGUAUUCAUGCCAUAUUUGCCUAUGUUUAAAAUAACUUUAUAUUGUAUGGAUGCACAUUAUAUGAUUUAUUUAGAACUAACCCGGAUUGACGCUGUUUUCAGCAGAAUUACCAUGGUGUUGUUUUUUGUGCAGAAAAUGAAAGUUCUCGGAAUCGGCUAAAACUAUUUUAUGAUUUUUUCUGGAACAUAUGAGCAAUGUUGGAGCGAAGAAUCACCAGAGGAGGGCUACCACGGAGGCACAAGACAACAGGGCGCGGCCUGGGCCUUAGCCACGCCCUGAUGGCUUGUGGGGCCCACAUGGCUCCGUUGCGCGUGAUUCCAACGCUAGAAUAAUCAUAUAAAUCCCAGAAACCCUAGAAGUAAAGAGAGAACUUCCGCUCCACCGCUACAACUCCCUGUAUCACUGAAAAACUUAUCUGGAGCGAUUCCAGUACCCUGCCGGAAAGGGAAAAGCAUCACCGGUGGCCAUCUUCAUCAUCCUGGCCGAGGCCAGGACGAGGAGGGAGUAGUUCACCCUCGAGGCUGAGGGUAUAUACGAGUAGCUAUGUGUUCAAUCUCUCUCUCUCUCUCUCUCUCUCUCUCUCUCGUGUUCUUGAGAUGGCACAAUCUCAAGAACAUGGGCUUUGUUAAUAUAGUUGGAUCAUAUGAUAUAUUUCCCUUACCAUCUAGUUGUGAUGAAUUGAGUCUUUUCCUUUAAGAUCUCGUCAUGUUGGAUUGAACAUAUUGGUAUGACACCACUUGAUGUAAGUCUUGCAUGGCAUACCCGUAGUGACAUUGGAGUAUUCUAUUGGUUCACUUGAUAUAUGUUGAGGCAUCAACUUACGGGUUCAAGUUACCUUGGGGAUCUAUGCAUAGGGGCUGAUUGCAAAUUUUCCUACCAUGUUCUCUGAUAGAAAUCUUGGGGUGCUCCUUGCACAUUCUUUGUGUUGCAUUGAAUAUGACAGCUCUGAAAUUGUUUGAUGCAUGUCGCAUAAUUUACCCAUGGAUACUUGAGGUGACAUUGGAGUAUCUAGGAGACAUUAGGGUCGAUUGAUAUGUAUCAUUGGUGUUAUUUUAGUACAAACUCUUAGAUAGAUCAAACGUAAAGGAUAGCUUGAUGUUAUCUUAGUACGAACUCUUGAAUAGAUUGAACGAAAAUUAUAGCUCGAUGUUAUCUUAGUACGAACUCUUGAAUAGAUUGAUCGGAAAUAAUAAGUUUGAGGUGGUUCUACUACGUGCACCAAUUUCAUCUUAUUGUUCUCCACUAGAUAGGAACUUUGGAGUGAUUCUUGUUGCACGUUGAGGGAUCCAAUUAUGUUAGCAUUGUUGAGAGAUUGCACUAGUGGAAGUAUGUACCGUAGGCCUUAUUUACAAGCAUUAAUACAACAUUUUCCUAGCUAUUUUUAUAUUUUCAGAUUACAAAAACCUAUAUCUACCAUCCGUAUUGCACUUGUAUCACCAUCUCAGCGUCUAACUAGUGCACAUAUACAAUUUACCAUUGUAUUGGGUGUGUUGGGGACACAAGAGAUAUCUUGUAUUUGAUUGUAGGGUUUCUUGAGAGAGACCAUCUUCAUCCUACACCUCCCACGGAUUGAUAAACCUUAGGUCAUCCACUUGAGGGAAAAAUGCUACUGUCCUACAGAACUCUGCGCUUGAAGGCCCAACACGAGUCUAUAAGAAUAAACUUGUGUAGUAGACAUCAAGAUAUUUUCUGGCGCUGUUGCCAUGGAGGUGAGUGCUUGAAGGUAUAUCUUUAGACAUUGCAAUUAAAUAUUUUAAUUUCUUGCUUUUCACUAGUUUUUUUUAAGAAAAAUAGAGUCUACGUUGCCUAAAUGGUGUCCUCGUUUUAAAGUCUUCCAUGAAAAUGUUAGUUUGGAUUUUUUUUUCUCAUGUGAGUUCCUUGAAAGAUGAGCAUGAUUGCACUGUUGUUAGUACAUGUUCUCUUAAUAUCCAUGAUGCUAAUGAUGAUUGCACUAGUCAUGAUAAAAAGGUUUCCUAUAAGCAUGACAAUUUUUGUGGAGUGAAUAAAAUUUGCAAAGACAUGCCAUAUAGGGACGAUAGAUUUUACAAGAAGCAUAAACAUGAUCAAACUAAUUGGUGGCUUAAAGUGAUAGAUGAAAGUGCCUAAUGAACCAGAAGUAUAGGGGAUCUAUCAUAGUCCUUAAGAUAAGUAAGAGUGUCGAACCCAACGAGGAGCAGAAGGAUCUGACAAGUGGUUUUCAGCAAGGUAAUAUGUGCAAGCACUGAAAUUAUGGGUAACAAGUGAUUGUAUGGUGAGGUGAUUCUUAGCAAGCAACAAGUAACAAAAGUAGCAACGGUGCAGCAAAGUGGACCAAUCCCUUUUGUAGCAAGGGACAAGCCUGCACAAAGUCUUAUAGGAGGAAAAACACUGCCGAGAACACACGGGAAUUUCUGUCAUGCUAGUUUUCAUCAUGUUCAUAUGAUUCGCGUUCGUUACUUUGAUAGUUUGAUAUGUGGGUGGACCGACGCUUGGAUACUUCCCUUACUUGGACAAGCAUCCCACUUAUGAUUAACCCCUCUCGCAAGCAUCUGCAACUAUGAAAG